rnacentral:lncRNA from 1 species
AGAAAUAACAAGUUUUUAAAAGGAUGACAUUAAUUUUUUUUUAAAUAGAAAUUAGACAUUGUGUAAUAAAAUUUAAAAUUUUUUAAAUUUACUCGGUUAUAAAUAAAUCUGUUAGAGAUUGUAAAAUAAAAUUUAAAAUUUCAUAAAUUUAUUCAGAUAUAAAUAACUAUGUGAGUAUUUGUGAGUGCGUGCCAUACAAGUUUUUUUGGGUGUUUAAAAUAAAUAAUCUCUAACAAAAAAAUGUUAAAUACAAAAUAAUACUAAGGAUGUUAAGCCUAUCUUAUUAACAUUACUAGUCCAUGUUAAGACUUAGACGAUCAUCACAUGACCACGGUCAACGUUGUACAUUGACCAGUAGCGAAGAGAGAGAGAAAGCAGGAAAAAAGAUAGAUUGUGUUAAAGAUUUGCAGCUUUCUGUUACGUGGGUGUCGUGUCCUGUCCUUUAAUGAAAAACCAUGGCAAGCGAGAACCAUGUGCAGCUGUAUUUUUCUAGACCAUAAUGCCCUCAUUCUCCUUCCAUUAUUCCCUACUAUUUUCUUGCUUGUAGUGCAAGUGCCACUUCCCUAGAGCUAGCUCACAAGGAACUACUACCGCUCACUUCCCUUUUCUUUGUUUUCUGCAAAGUUGAAAAAGCUUCUAUUUCUGAUUUCUCUCCCCUCUUUCUUCUUCCUUCAAGUGGAAGCUCGCAGAGGGAGAGAGAGAGAAAGAACGCUGAAAUAGGAAAGGGAAAAUGGGUAUCGGCACCAGCAACUUUGUGAUCAGAUGGAUCAACUUACUCACCAUGGUAUGCUCUUUCUUGUUUCGUUCUUUUGGUCUUUAUUUUUUGAGCUUUUCAGCUCUCAGAGGUAAUGAGUGCUCGUGCUUCAUUUUCCGAAAGCUGUUUGAGUUGAAGUUUGCUUUUUUCUGUCUUAUUUGCUUGAUUUUCCUUUUAAUCCUUCCUGCCAUUUUGUUUAAAUUUGGGUGUUUUCUCUCUGUCUACUUUUCAUAUAUUGGGUUUUUUCUUGUAUUAGUGUUUGUUUCGUGCUCUAAUGCUGUCUGUACAUUUUGUACUUCAGCUAAAUUUAUAUUUGAAGAUACCUGGAUACAUGGGUUUGCUCAAAUUUUUUGGGUUUUUCGCUAAAUUGAAACGUACUAGAAGUAAAAAUAUUGUCUUUGUUGUAUAACAUUGUGUUAUGAGAUCAUGCUUGCUUCCUUUUGUUUAGCUUUUAGCUAUUGCCGUCAUAAUUUUUGGAGUAUGGAUGAGCACACACCACGACAGCUGCCGGAGGUCUCUCACUCUCCCUGUGCUAGGCCUUGGAGGUUUCAUAUUUGUAAUGUAAGGUGUCCUUUCUCUGUUAUUGCAAAUUGAUGAAUGUUUUUGCCAUUUAUCUUUCUAUUUUUCCUGUAAAUGGUUAUAGAUUGUCUUUUUCUUGAUUUUUAGAUCAAUAAUUGGCUUCUUGGGCGCACUGAAGAACAACUCUAUACUUUUGUGGAUUGUAUCCUUACUAAAUGAAUUUCUGAUAUUUGUCUGCAAUUUUUUAAAUUCAAUAGUUUAUUUAUUCUUUAGUAUUUAUGGACAUGCCUUGACUGGUUGCUUACAGUAUCUGAUUAUGCUGUGCAUCAUUUUGGUGGCUAUUCUGGUUUUCACAGUAUUGGCGUAAGUAUUUUGGGUGGUCCUCAAUAUAUUUUCUAGAUUAGAUGAUAGGAUUGUUAGAUGGAUCAACUUCUUGCUUUAUUUUCUUCAACAUUUGAGUCUUGAUCUUUUAUAUUCAUGAGUUUGAUUGUCCAAUAUAUUUUGCUGUUUGCUUGUGAAUGCUUCAUUGGAAACAUAUAGCUUUGGGAGUAGUUCUGACUCCUACAUCUAUUACUCCUCUUGAUAGAACAAAUUUGCUAUUUGGUAUAAGCUUCUUUUGUCUUCUGCUACUUUAGUUUGAUAUCAUGGGCAGUGAUGGCACAUUCAGAAAUUCUUCUUGGAUAUUAGUGGAAGAAUCAAUGAUACCUGUGUUGUGGCUGCUUUUGUUAGAAAAAAGGAAUUCUUUUUUACUGAGACAGAUGUUUAUUGCUUCUAUAGUAAAAAGUUCAUAGUUCUAGGAUUGACUUAUGCAUGCUGAAUUUCAUGGAUGUAUUAAAAUUCCUUACUUUUCACUUGAUCAUAAACAGUAUCCCUAGGGUGUACGCAUAGUCAUACUUGUAGGAUAACAUUACAUUAAGAGGAUAAUUCAGUAAGAACUAGCAGUGAAUUGUGAAAUUUUAGUUGGAACUUAGAAUGCUCUAGGAAUAAAAGAGAUUAUAUUUAGAGAUGUGAUAGGUGAUAUAAUGAGAAUGAGAUAAAGGGAACUUUUUCCAUCUGGGCCUUGGAAAUAAUCUUGAUUUAAUCUGUAAGUUGAGUAUUUGUUUUUUUAGAUUCGGGAAGUUAUAUCUUUCACUUAAAUUGGGGCGAUUUUUCUCUGAAAAAGAAAAUCUCUUCAAGUCAUUUCUAUAUCUCAACCACCAAAUCUCUAUUGUCAUUAUUUGAAAUAUGACCAGCAAAAGGCUUUAGUACGAGAAAAAUGUGAGACUGCUGGCUGUAUCACAUCAUAUAUAGCAAGAGCAGAGCUUUAUCCUAAACCCAUAUUAAACCAAAAACACACAAUUUAUGUUUUCUUCUUCGUCGUUUAAGAGUCCAGUUAAAGAGCAGUUGAAAAGUUUAUGGAUUCAUGUUGUAAUAUCUUUUGCAUAUUUUAUCAUAUAUUAUGAUUUUUUUGUGUGGAACUUAUAAUAAGCAUGUUUGCAUUUUCUUUGACUUUCUUAUAGGUUUAUUGUGACAAAUAAUGGAUCUGGUCAUUAUGCCCCUGGUUUGAGGUAAGAAAACAUAAUUUUGAAAACUGUUGUCUGUGUUUAUCUCUCAUUUUUAUAUUCCUCAAAUCUUACUGAAAGCAACAAGGGGUAAAAUGAAAAUAAAAUCAUAUGGUAACAUCAUUUUCCGUCUGAUCUUCCAAUAUCUCUCUCUCUUCCCCUUUUCCUUCCCCAAAGUCCUUUUCACCUUGUUUGUAAAACAGUAUAUUUAACCCUCUGUUUGGAAAUAAGAAUUUCGCAACAAUUCAAUUCAAUUGAUUUCUUUUCUAAUAAUUUUCUUAUUUGGAGGGAAAGAAUUCAAUUCUUUUUAACUUGAAAAACCUGCAUUGUAGAAAUCUUGCAUGAGUUUACAAGAAUUCAUUUGAAAUAUUUUCUUGCAAAACCAAUCGUGCCAAAUGAGGGGUAAUGGAAUACAGCAUGCAUGGCCUACUCAAAUUGGUGGGUGACAGCUACUGAUAUAUACUUGUCUGCUCAGGUAUAAGGAGUAUGAACUUCAGGAUUUUAGCUCAUGGUUUCUUAAACAGGUAAAGCUAUUUACCUUAUCAACAGUGUAUGGAUCUGAUGCGUGUCUACUUUUUGGUGCACACAGCAAUAUAAAUUAAAAUGUUGCAAUUGUGUUCAACUUUGUUCUUCACUUCAGCUGAAUGAUACUCAAAAUUGGAAGCGAUUGAAGAGUUGUCUUGUGAAAUCUGAUGACUGCAAUAAUCUAUCCAAGAAAUACAAGGUUCAUAAGUUAGCUUCAAAUGAUGAUAAUUCAUUGAUAUCCAAAUUCCUAACAGAAAUUUAGGUGCUUUCACUUGUUGGUUGCAGACCCUUAAGCAGUAUAAGUCGGCAAAGCUGACCCCUAUCGAAGCUGGUUGCUGCAGGCCACCGUCUGAGUGAGUAGUUCUGUUGAUUUUUUCCCCCUCUCCUUUCCUGUGCAAAUCUUCAAGUGUGCUUUACUUAUCAUGUGAAAUUAGUGAGAUAACAUGUUCCCUUGUUCCUUUUGUCGAUGUUAUUAGACUUUUAUAUGAUAGCUGAUAGUAUAUUGAUAAACUUGAGAAUCAGUUUUAAGAAGUUACUUCUGUUCAACUUGCUUCAUAGAUGUGGUUACCCUGCUGUCAGCGCUUCAUAUUACGAUUUGAGCUUCCAUCCAAUAAGCUCCAACAGGGACUGCAAACUUUACAAAAAUUCAGGAGCUACCAAAUGCUAUAAUUGUGAUUCCUGCAAGUAAAUAUCACUUCUAAAUGAGUUUUCCACUUCUGUUUUCCAUUAUAUAGGAUGCUUUAUACUUGCUUUCAAUCAUGUUUUCAGGGCUGGAGUUGCACAGUACAUGAAAACUGAGUGGAGAGUGGUUGCAAUCUUUAAUGUGAUUUUAUUUGUCAUCUUGGUAAGUCAAUUCUUCUCAUCACAUAUGUUAACUUUCCAUUUUGUGUUUGUGUUAUUUUGAAAGUGAAAAGGCUCUCGUUUUGUGUAAUGGAUUGAACUAAGGUAUUCUUCUCACAAAAUAUUAGCAUUGAUGGUUUAUUUGUUUAAAUAAACCUCGACGAUGAUUCUGUUAUUCAUAUUUCUGUUCUAAUAAUAUCUUAGUGUUGUUCUGACAUUUUUUUUUCAAAACUUUUGUUCAAUAUGCUCUGAAAAUACCAGUCAAUGAUUUACUUUGUGGGAUGCUGUGCAAGACGAAAUGCUGCUACGAAUCACUCUAAAGCUUGAAAGAUGACCUUUGUUGAAAACGAUAGUCAUUUAUUUUUCCUGAGAUUAUAAUGAUUAGUCUAGUGGAGGUUCUUCCACCGUUGGAAGAAGGGAGAGAGAGGAGCAGUUGUAAAUUCUGUUGUGUAUUGGAUUGGAAGUUUUGGCCUGUGGCCCUCUCUGUCUGUAAGCAAUGCCUGUAAUCAUGUGAAAUUUACAAAUCUACUGGUAAAAAUGUCAAAAAGUUUUUUCAUCACAUACUUUUCAAGUGACUUUUGCAUGGAUUUUGUGAUAUCUGAUAGACUAGUUUAUAAAUUAGUAACCAUCUGUAUUUUUUCCAACUGGGGUAAACUUCCAAUAAGAAGAGCAGAAACAAGGAUUGCAAGAGUAGCAGGUAGCAUUACAUAGCCAAUCUACAGGGCAAGAGAAGUAGGCAGAGUUCUUUUAAGCUUCCUGAUAGACAUGGCCAAUGCUCAUUAUUCUGGCUAUGCUUCUGGCCCCUGCAUUGUCUAAACCCAGCCCAAAAGCUAUUACCUAGUCUACUGCUCUAUUCUCUCUUUUUUUUUUUUUUUUUCCUCAGCUUUUCAAUUUCGUCUUUUGUUUUCUCUUAUUUAUCUUGUCUGUUCGAAUCUUGGCAAGACCAUUUGGAUAGUUUUUAACAGAUGGGUGAAUUUGGAUUAAAAUUUAUAUAUAUAUAUAUAUAUAUAUAUAUAUUCUCCCGUGGAUACUUUUUUUUAUAUUAUUAUUAAUAUAAUUUGACUAUUCAAUUUUAUCUUAUUUUUAAUAUAAUUUUUUAUUUUUUAAACAAUAAUUCAAAUAAUCUCUUAAUAUUUAAUAAAAUUUAAUAUUUUCAUUUAAUAUUAAAUUAAUCAAAUACUUGCAGAAAAUUUUUAAUUGAUAUUUUAAUAAAAUAAUUUUAUCUUAUAUUUUAAUACAUAGCAUAAUAUGAAAAAUGCAUAUAAAGUCAAUUAAAUAGACAAUACAUGUAUACAUUCAUUAUAUUGUCAAAGUAAUAAAUUUCAUUAGAUUUUUUACUUUUUUAAAUCAAAUAAAUAAAAAUCUCCAAGCAUUUCCUUUUUUUAAAUUUUACCCUUUUUUAAGUUUAUUAUUUUUAAUCUAACUUAUUUAUAUUAUAACAAUUUUAAUUUAUUGCUUAAAAAAAACAAUUUUAAUUUAUUUAAUAAGGAAAUAUACAUAUAAAGCUUAAAUAACUAUAUAGCACAUGAAAAUAUUUCUCCUAUGUAAUUGAAUAUUAAUAAGCAUAAGAUUUUUUUCAAUUAUUUAGUUAAUGAUUAGAAAAUUAAAAAUAUUUUAUUUAAAAUAAAUAUCAAGAUAUUAGUAUUUUUAAUUAAGGAAAAAUAUACAAAAAUAUAGCUUAUUAUUUUCUAUAUGGAUAUAAAUGUAAUUAACAAAUUUAGAUUUCUAAAGUUACAAUUAAUAAUAAAUUAAUUAAUAUUAAAGUUUCAACUUAAUAAAAUCUCAAUUGAUUCAAUAAUAAUGAAGAAAAAUAAGAAAUAAAAAAUAAAAAAAUUUGUAUGGAUAUAGAUAGAUGUAAUUAAUAAACUUAGAUUUCCCAAAUUAUAAUUAAUAACUAAUAAUAGAUUAAUUAAUAAUAAAUUUUCAACUUGACAAAAUUUCAAUUAAUCCAAUAGUAACGAAGAAAAAUAGGAAAGGAAUUUUAAAAAUUUGUAAAAAUUAGAAAAAUAAAAUACUAAAUAAAAAGAGUACCACUUUGUUCUUUUGUUUUAGCUUUUAUAUAUAUAAUAUAUAAAUAUGUAAUUUAAAAAUUAAUAAAAAAAUUUUUAUUUUUAAUUAAAAUAUUAAUAAAUAAAAUAAAUAAAAAUUAUGGGGCAGUUGAAUAUAUAUAUAUAUAUAAUAUAAUAAAAAUGGAUUCUUAAUUGCUACAAUCUAUGAACGGUAGCAAUUAGAACAGUGUAUUGAUUCCUUUAUCCUCUAAUCCUCUCUCUCACGCGUCUUCGGUUUUUGCCCUAAAUAAUUUGUAAUUCUAAAAUUACCCUUCCAUUCGCAUAUUCACAGUGUACUUUACCCGGUUCCAUCGUCUUUUCCCUUCAUCGAAACGACAGUGUUUCAUUGAGAAACUAUUUCAGAGCUGUUAGCUCCUUCUCUCGACAGUGUAUGGCCAUUCUCUCGUCGCUCCGUCAUCUCUCCAUGGGAUGGUUGCGCCCUUGCGCCCGUCUACCCACCAGCGUCUGCCUCUGCAGUAUCUCACCUUUGCGCCUUCUGAAACCUCCUGUUUCUCACUUCUCCCCGUCCAAGUAUUUUAGCGCCUUUGCGUGCGUCUACACAACGUUCUCCUCUACAAUAUCUCACUGUUGCGCCCUCAAAAACUCCGCUUCGUGCUCACUGCCCAAGAUUCAGCCCAUACCCUGUUUCUAUCUUCUCUUCGUUCAUCUAUUUCAGCGUCUCCAUGCGCGUCUGCUCACCGGCGUUCUCCUCUGCGGUGUCUCAUCGCUGCGCCUUUGAAAGCCCCUUUCUUGCUCACCGCCACAACUUUCAGGCCAUGACUUGUUUCUCUCUUCUCCCCAUCCAUGCACUGUCGUGCAUUUGUGAGGGCGCGACUGUACGCAGGUCUUUGUAUUUUGCCGUCUGUUCUUUUAAUGGCCGCGUAUUGAAGCUCUUUUUAUUUUUUCUUGCUUUGGCCACUAUUGCCUAUUUAUCUCUGCAUCGUUUUCUUUACUGUUGUUUUUCCUCAGAUCACUGAUAAGUUGUUUGCGUUGCUGUGUGCUGAGUAGUGCAAUUGAAAUUUCUUUUUGGUUUUAAUAUCCGUGUAUUAUUAUGUAUGGGUCUUGUAUUCUAUUAGCGUCGACUUGACUCCAUUUGUUUCAAAAAUGUCUUAAUGCACUGGUACUCUCUUUGGUAAGUAAUUCCAGACGUAGCUUCCGUUGGAGGUUUGGCUUUAUCUUAGCUACUGUUUUUUUUUUUAUUUAGCUUUAAUUGUUUGUUUUUUCAAUUUUUUUACGGGUAGUUUAUUAGAUAUGACAUAUAAAUACUCAUUCAAUAUUAUUCAAAAUAUUAUUAGCUCUUUUAAUGGAUUUAAUUGUUAAUUGAUCAUUUAAUAUAAAUUUAUUAACUUUUUUAGUUACAUACUAAGUAUCUGUCGCUCUUCUAUAAUUAUUUCUAAAUUUGGCAAGAUAUCACUAAUUGUAAAAUUUUCUCAGAGAUUCAAAGGUUACGUACUUAUUUUUUUCUAUAAAUAGCAAGUCAUUUUAUCUGUAUGGUUGUCUUUCAAAUUGUUCUUCUAUAAUUUUUUUUGCUUUCUUUUCUUAUCUUUUCCAUGACGUUUUCUUACUAACUUCUCAUUCUUUAUUGUGCAGGGUUGCUAUCCUAACUUGGUUUUUCUUUGGUAUCGCUGCUGCUGUGGCUGUGGUUUUUGCUGCUGUUGAUUUGCCUUGUCUUCCUUUUUAUACUGCUGCUGUAGCUUUCCUUGAUAUUAUUCUGGUAUAUAUAUAAAAGCUGAGAAGUGUGAAUAAUUUAUAAAUUAUUAUUAUUUUAAAUUCACUUUAAAGUAUUGUUAAUAAGUAAAAUGGUGUAAUUUAAAAUCUAUAAUUCACAUGAGUUUAAAUAUUGCUAUUUAAACAAAAUAUUAAUUAAUUUUAUUUUUCACAAUUUACUUUAUUUUAAAUUUAUUAUUUCAUUUUAUUUAUUUUAAUUUGCACUUAAUUUUUUGUUAUAUUUGGUUUACUAUACUUAUGUCAUAAUAAAAAUAAUCUUUUUAUCUUAUAUUUUUUUCCAUUUUAUUUUUUAUAUAAAUUAGAAAAUAAUAGUCAAUUAAAUAUAAGUUUCAUCCAUUAACUUUUUAAUUAUGUCAUUUUUAAUAUAAGAGUAGGAUAUUUAAGUUUUAUUAAAAUCAAUCGGCAUAUGUCUUUCCUCCAAAGGUUGAGCCCAUGCGACUACCCCCUCUAAUACUAUUGAUAAGGGCUCAUUCCGAGUUGGGCCGUCCUCUAGUGGCCCGCAAACUAAAAGAUUUGCCAAUAAAAAUCCAAUGAGACCUGGUGCUGAAGGUAUUGAGACAGAUAUUACUUCUACUUCUACCAAUUUUUCUUUUUCUUUAGUUUUGAAUAAAGUGGCUUUCUAACCAUGCCAACACUCAUGCCAAUGAUAACCUCGAUUUUCCUAAUGUGAUUAUGUGAAGAAUCAAUUUUCGUAUCUUUCUACUCCUAAUAUUGAUAAGAAUCUAGAAAUGAAUGAGAUUUAAGAGAUGAACAUUGUUUCGGAGACUCCACUUGAGAGGGUUUCGGAGACUCUACUUGAGAGGGUAAUGCUUUAACCUCUAGUAUGAGAAAAAAAUGGUCAAUUGAUGUCUUCGUUUGGAAGAUUAUUAUUACUUAUAAGUUAAUGCUGUUGAAGUUAUAUGAUUUUGUAGUUUUGAUUAAAAGCUUAAUACCUCUCCAUAUUAGGUAAAAAAAAAUAUUGAGAAAUAAUUUGAAUUUGCAUUUAUAAAAAUUAAUGAAAAAUUAUGCUAAAAAAGUUUUGUCCCCUUAAAAUUCAAUAAGAAGCAGAAGCUGACAAAAGUCAAAACCCAUGACUAAAGCUCUUUCCGCUGGGGCAUAAACCCUAAACUCUCCCGCUCAUCUCGUCUUCCUCUGGUGCGAACCAUGCUGUCCCCAAUUUUCCUCCAACUUCCCAGAACCAUCUCAGACCAACUCCGAACCCGAAUUUUUGCUCGGCUUAUGGGUGGGGGUCCACGGACCUUCCCUGGCGGCCUAAACAAAUGGCAGUGGAAACGCCUCCACGAGAAAAGAGCUAGGGAGAAAGAGAAAAGACUACUCGACCAAGAGAAACAACUAUACCAAGCCCGAAUCCGCUCUCAACUCCGUGCCAGACUCGCCGGAAAACCUGACCUGGAUCCCAACUCGGAUACGGACACUUCUUACGGCCCUAUGACCCCCAAGGACCAAAUCAAAGCCCUUGCUGAUCGUUUCAUGACAGAAGGAGCUGAAGACUUAUGGAAUGAAAACGAUGGUCCGUUGAAAACUCCGUCGCCCAAAUCAAUUGAAAGGCCAAGAUCCAUUGGGCUGAAUCAACGGCCGGGAUCGAUCAAUUCGCCCAUUGAUUUGAGGAAACUGAUGUUAGAGGCUCGUAAUGAAUCGCAUAAUUGCCAAAGUUUUAGCAAGGAUUAUAAUUACAUCAAAGCAAGGGAUUAUUCAGUGCAGAGAUGUUCAUAUAACAUGGCAUUUUCUUCGAGUUCUUCCAGCGAUGACGAGGAUGAAAAUUAUGGAUUUGAUUCCUUUAACGAGGGGGAAAGGCAAGGGGAGAUCUGGAAUGGAGCUGCUUUGAGGAAGUAUGAUACGAAAAUAACGAAAAGAGUUCCACUGAAGGAGCUUGAGAAGGAGUCGGAUUUUGCGAGUUGGCUGAAAAUGAUGGAGAAUAGAGUGAGACAGGCGAGGAAGAAUCGAUUCUCUGUCAGAGAAGGUAAGUGAUGGGGUACUUAUUUUUAUCAGUGAUUGUUAGCAGCCGGAGAAUUUGAUGUUUUUUCAUAUCUUCAUAAUUUUCAUUCUGCAAGUGCAUAAAGCCAUCUAUAUUGUUGUGCCAGCAACUGGACAAUCUACGGGGUUGAUUAUGUACUGCUGGAUGCAUGUCAUAACAAUGGAAUAUAAUGCCACUGGAUUGCCUUUUUCUUGACAUAUGCAGCUAAUUUUACGUCUUCUCCGUUGAAUGUACAGAGUUACCAUCUUUAUAUUGUGCCUAAGCCUGGGCCAUAUUUUGACAUGUCAUAUUGGCACCACCUAAACCAUGUCAAAUUCUUGAAGAAAAUUCCAUAAACACCUUCAAUUGCAUGUCUCCCACGAUUUUAGUCUCUUGUGUCUACUUGUUAGUAGGGUAUAAAUUUGUGCUUGUUUCUUGUGUUUGACCUUUGAAGGUGAUUUACUUUCUCAGGUGAAGGAUUCCAUGUCAAAGAUUGAUAGUUGUGUCAAAGAAGCAGGAUGUCAUGUUUGGCUAGGUUAUCAUAAUUCAAUCAGGGAAAUCUGCAGGGACAAAACAAUGCAUGUUGAGAUAUAGCUAAUCGAUUUCUCAGUCAAUAGGUUUACAAAGGCCCCCUCCUUUGUUCAGGAAAACAGUACUAAAGAUGGGUUUGAAAGACAUCCCUGGCAUACAAAUUCGAGCAUGACAAUAACUGGGAGCCAGGUAUACUAACUUCUGCAUCAUGCGGCUAGCGUGAAAAGGGACUGAGAAUUAUUGCAAAAAGACCAGGUUCAACUUUUAUUCAGCCUGAAAUGUUUAUGCAUGCUAGGCUGCUUCCUUUUUUAUUUUCUGCGGCUAGCGUGAAAAGGGACUGAGAAUUAUUGCAAAAAGACCAGGUUCAACUUUUAUUCAGCCUGAAAUGUUUAUGCUUGCUAGGCUGCUUCCUUUUUUAUUUUCUUGGUACUGUAAGGUCUUCCAAGCUUUGUCUUGCCAUUUUGAAGAGUUCCUGUUGCAUUAAUUUGCAUCACUUGAUUAAUAUAUUAGGAUAGGGUUCGGAUAAGGAACAAAGAUCUAAUGGUGGUUUCACUUUGUACCACCAUGAAUUGAUUUAUGCAAUGUUGUAUGUUCAUCUUCAUGAUUUUAUAGAUUGAUUAGUUGAUGAUCUUGAGCUGCACCUUUUCCAUAUCUUAUUAUUAUUUUUUGAAUGGAAUUUAUUAUUAUUAUUAUCAUGGUUGUUAAACCCAGACUAGCCGGUUGGACCAGGUUAACCAGAAUCUGGAGCCUGGUCAGUUUCGGUCUAACAAGCAAACCCUCUUUUCACAAAACUGGAUUGAACCAGCCAGAUAACUGGCGAACCGGACAACCCGGCUGGAUUUGAACUGAAUAGUCCAGCCCGAUCACUGAAAGAAGAAGUCAAAUUGCAUCAACAACCAAUUGAUCUACAGGCUCCUUGUGAUUUUAUCUUACAACAAUCAUUCUUAACUAAAAUUGUAAUAAAUAUAAUUUAUAUUAUAUUAAUAUAAAGUAAUUUAUAAUUCACUUGCAAUUUAAUGAUCGAUGAUGUCAAUACUUUGUUUUAUUAGUAUAUUAAUUUAAAUUAUUUACUUAAUUUUUAUACAAUAUAAAAGUACAUAAUUUUUUAUAUUUAUUAUGUUUUAUAACUUAAAUAUAUUAAGGUUUAUUUUUCAUUGUUAUAAAUAAAUUUAUUUCUAUAAAAUUUUAGUCUUAAUUAUUUGUUGUUAUAAAUAACUAAAUAUUAAAAUUUUCUGUUUGUUGUUUUAUAUAAUUUUAAUAUAGUAAUAUUUAUUUUUUAUUUGUUAUAAUAAAAUUUUAAUUCUAAGUUUUUCUCUAUUAUAUAUAAUUGAAUAUUAUUGUUUAAAAUUUUAAAUUAUUUCCUAAAAAUAUCUGGAAUUUUAAGUGAACUUAUUUUAAUAAUUAUUUGUAAAAAAUGUACACAAGCAUUAAUCAUAAUAAAAACAUUAUUAUUAAUUUUAUAAUAUUUAUUUAAUAAUAUUACGAUUGAAUUCUAGUUCAACCAUGUUGAAUCUUAAACCCUUAACUCUUUGCUCUCGUUGAAAAGAUUGGAUUGGGUUUAAAAACAUUUAUUAUUAUUAUUAUUAUUAUUAUUAUUAUUAUUAUUAUUAUUAUUAUUAUUAUUAUUAACUACUUAAGAUUUGGAUGUGAUCUUGAAUCAUGAAAAGUAAAGCAGCUUAUUACCUUUUUAAACUCCUCGACUCUAACAAGUACUUGGAAGCCCUUGAAUGCAAAAUGAUAAUACAUGUGAAAAAUCUUAUUGAGAGUCAAUUUUGGAUUGCUUUGUUACAGUUGCUAGAAGUGAAUACUUAGAUGACUAGAGCUUUAUAUGCAUAGAAAUAAUAGAAAGAACUGUCAAUUUUUUCCAUUAGCAGAGUUGCCUAUUGGGUUCUGUGCUAAUGUGAUUGAUCUUCUCAGCUUAAAGGUAAAGUGUUACACCUCCAAUAUGAAAAUUUGAACUUCAUCCAUUAGAAAAUCCGAGUGUUCUGUAAGAUAUUUUUUGUGGAGGGAUCAUUAUUAUAUCCUUGGUGGGUGUUAUUGUUUCGUCUCCUUCACAUGGCCUUAGCAUAAUAAAAAAUAUUGUUCAUCGUUGAUCUAGCUGUAAGAUUAACAUUUUUCCUUGAAAUGUUCACUGUUUAAUAACAAGAAUUAAACAUGUGGCCUUUAUAUCUUAGAACAGAAUCUAUAUAUACCUCCGACCAGACCAAUUUAGCCAUGAAUUGCUUGAACUUGAUCUGUUAUGAUGAACCCGUUGCCCUUAUUUUCACUAUCACAGUUGCUUUCGUGAGAAAUUAACAAAUUCCCUUGUUUUCAUCUUCCAUUGAUAUCAGGCAAAUCAAAGUCAAUUUUACUUUGGUCACUUCACUUAUGAAGGGUCCAGUAAUACUAAAUUUUUGAGAACCAACCCACUCGUCCAGGUUCAUCAAAUCCUUGUCAACACAAAUAAGGUAUUUUUUUUUUUAAUUUCAAAUUACCAAAAUGAACAAACCUCAAAAGGAAAAAAACAACUGCACCAUAGUUGGAAAGGGAAUUACAUGGAAAUGACAAAUCAGAUUCUUGUGGUAAUAUGAUAUUUAAAAUUGCCAUGACAGAUUUAUUGCUAUCUAUAACUGCUAUCUGAGGAAAUCCAACGGUAAACAUUUUAAAGUUGAUAUCUCAGUACUUACCUUCCUAAACAAACAGAGAGGUACACACAACUCUGUUUUUUAGUACAAUAAAAUUGAUAACCCGAAAGCUGCAAGACCAAAGUUACAUUCUCAGACUCUGAAACAUGAACAUUAAUUUUAUAUUGGAAAAGAUGGAAAAAGAAAAAGAAAAUAGAUAAAUGGUGAAACAGAAAGAUAAGAAACUAAAUUUUCUUUCUUGGUAAAUAAAGCAUCUUUUGUUGCAUAUGAAGUUAGCCACAUUGUGAUUUGGGUUAUGAAAAUUAGCAAGGUGUCAACAGAAACUCAACAAAGAGUCACUAUUCCCCAGCCACAGCACUUCUGGCAUUCAAGUUCGCGUAAAUAAUAGGGUGCUUAUAUUAAUUAUAUGAUCUGCUUGCAUGAAAUGGUAAAGUGGACCCUUAGUCGCCAACUUGUCACAGUUCCAUUGGCCCUUAUUCAAGUGGACCUGUGCUGUUCUCCCCUCUUUCAAUUUGACUAACUUCAGAGAACAUGUGUUUGUUUCACUGCUUGUAUAAAUCAAAUUAUCUCAUUUAUAUUUUCACUCCUCCCAAACAAAGGCAGAAACUAAAAAAAAAAGUUCUAAGCAUCAAAGCAUUCUUUCUCACUGGAGGUUAGUUCAUUCUUCAGCUGAUAUAAUUUGCUUUUCUGUUUUCAUAUGAGGGUUGAUUUAUUUGCCUCUCUUAUUCCCAUUACUCAUUAGAGGGAACAUUCUAUUUUUUUCUCUUUGUGAAAAAAGCAAAAGGAAAGGAGAUGUAAGUACCACUGGCAGUUAAGGCCAAAUUUUGAUUGUGUAAAGAACCAUCUUAUUUGAUCUUUGGAGAGUUUGUCGUCUUGUGAUCGAAGAUUCGCACUUAAUAAUGAAAUGACAGAUAAUAAUAUAAUCAAUCAAGUUUUUUAUAAAGACGUUCUGAAAAAGCACUUCAUUUUCAGUUUCUUUGAUUGCACGAAACCCUUCAUUGUGGUGUGUCUGAGUCUGUUGUUUCUGUAACCUUCUACAUAUUUACAUUUAGUUUUUACGUAUUUUCUUUAUCAACCAUCAUUGUGCUUGUUUGGAGAAAUCCAUAGGGAUUGGUUAUGAAUUUGCAGCUCUUUCUUUUUGAAAUAUCUCAACUAAGAAAAGAUUUUCUUUUCUUAAGUGUGGUAACAACUGAAAAGGGAAAGCCUUAGGGAUUAGUUAUGAAUUUGCAGCUCUUUCUUUUUGAAAUAUCUCAACUAAGAAAAGGUUUUCUUUUCUUAAGUGUGGUAACAAAUGAAAAGGCAUAUUAUUUAGUGGAUGCAUGACAUUCUGUCUCAGUUAUGUUACUAGAAUAUCAUCAAAAUGGUUUUCAUUUUAUCUGUCAACUAACCAGAGCAUGUUUAAAAUGAUUCUUAUACUCUGUAUGACUUCCAAAUUUCUCAAUUUAUUCCAGCCAGUUUCCCUAGUUCUCUCUCUCUCUCCCUCCCUCCCUUCCCGUAAUCUCUGAGUAUUUUGUUAGGUUACUCGUAGUUGUUUGUGUGAACGUUCAUGUGACUCAAUAGUCAAAUUUAUCUCAGUUCUUUCUGAAAGUUAAAGUUCUCGUUGUGGAUAAGUUUGACUUGUCUACCUAGUCUUUAAAACCACAAACUAACUCAGAUCUUCUAUUUACUUUUUAGCAUAAAUACAAGGUCCAUGAAGCUCUAAAUACGAAAAUAUGGCAAUUAUAAUAAGAGUUGUUAUCUAUUGAUAGAUAUCAUUGAUUUUGAGGGCGAUUUUCCGUAUCAUUUACUGCCGAUAGUUCCCAUAAAAGGAAAGUGAACUAAUUCAAAUCGUGAUCAUUAAUUUUUCAUUUAAAAAAAAUAUUUCUUUACAUUUGCUAGAAAAAAUUUUGUUCUGAGAAAUCAUAAUAUGAUGUCUGAUUAGCUUUCUCAAAGGUUUUUGUAUAAUUUUAAAGCCUUCUUAGGAUUCUUUAUCAAAGUCCUUGAUGUGUACUUGAGACUGUUUAUUGACAACAAAUUACUGGAAUCUGUUUAAGCUAUUUUUUUUUCUUUUUGUUGUCUUGCAGUAUGACUGCGAUCUCUAUAUAUCUUGCAUAGGAAACAUUGAAUUGUAUCACAUGGGUGGGAAAGAGUUACUUUAUUAAGAUUAAUGCAGUUAUUUAUUAAGAAUUCCUGUAAAUGCAUUUUUCCUUUGGCACUUAUAAUAGAUUUUUUGUGGUGGUCCUUGCACUUUUUUGUCAAUAUCAUAAUUGAAAAUGGAAACGUCAUUAUUUCUAGCUACUUUAAUCUAUAUUAUCUGAUUUACAACAACGAAGCAUAAGGUGUCUUUACCUGGGAAGAACAGAUAAAAACUGUAUUUCUUGUUCAUUUCCCAAGUUCAAUAUAAUGAAUUCUUUGAGCAUAAAAGUGAAGAAAACUGUGGGAAAAUGAUUCAAAAUUUUAAAAUGAAAAGAUUUGUUUCUUACUGCCAAACAAAAAAUCAAGUUUCUUUCUUGAAGAACAUUGCAUUCACUGUCUGAAAAAAGAAUUACUAGAGAUUAUUUUCUAUUAGUGUUUGCAGUUCUUUUUUUUUUUUUUUUUUUUUUCCUAACAGAAGCAAUUCUUGAAUUGAAAAUGUCAAAAAUUAGGAUUUCACUAACAGAUUAUGUGAAUUUAUGGCGGGCAGCCAUGACAUACUCUGAAGGACAACAUGGCUUGGUACACUUCUGAAAGAAAUCAUUAUUUAGCAGUUAUCUUUAAUGUGGAUAUAAACAACUGUGUUCCACCGUCAAUCUUUCAGAGGUAGAGCAAAUGUGAGAAUAUAUCUUACAGUGUGAUUGACAUGUGAGAUGAAAUUCUACCAAGACAUGUAUUUCUCCAACAAUUCGUACUACCAUCUGAAGGAAACAAAUGGAGGAAUGCAGUAAUAUUAAGUCUUAAGGGCUUGGAUUUCAUUUUAAGUAGUCAUGGAUCAUCUGUUAUGGAGCAUUUUUACACCUCAUGGUGUGGAUAUUUCCUUCCCUUCCAUAACUGUUGUUAGGUUUAACAUUCCAUUUACGGGAAAAAAAACCAUUACAUUUAGGGGAAAAAAACCCAUAGAAUUGUUGGUUGCAUCCAGGAAUUGCAUCUGUGUCCUUCAAAUAUGAUUUCCAUAAGGUAUGGCUUUUCUAAUUCUUAGUAUUUUUCUAGAACUGUGUAGUAGAUUUUAAUCUGUCUUACAUUUAAGAUGAAAAUAAUUGCAUUCCUGUAUUCUGCAUUUGUCUAAUUUUCCCAUCUAACUCAAAUUAGUUCUUACAACUUGAAUGACCUUUGAAUCCUGGAUUUUCCUAAAUAGCUUUGGUGUAGGUCAAUACUUUCUAAUUAUUAAUUCCUAUACUGAAACCUUUAGAUUUACAGUUUUUAUGUGUAGAUUACUCACAGCUCACUGCUAGCUUCGUGUCUGUUAAUUAAAAGAGAGAACACCAUUGAGCAUUUUGCCAAAAGUGUUAUUUUUUUUUUAUAUACCUUUGCUGUGUGAGAAAUUUAAUAUUUUCCCAAAUAUGGAAAAUUUGUCCAAGUGGGCAAGAAAAAAAUACAAUGCCUCUAGUUAUGGUGGUGGUAACAUGCAACUCUACUAUAGAUAGCAGUAAAAUUUAAAAAAGAAGAAAAAAAAAAGAAAAAUAAUUCAGCUCUCAUGGUGCUGCCACUAUGAGCUGCCAAGGGUCAAAGAACUAAUGGUAAGAGUAUGCUGAUGUGACUUGCCUUUGCUAUCAAUAGUGGUAGAAAUACGCUGAUUGACCGGCCUCUACUAUAGUAGAGGUAAAGGGAGAGUAUAAAUUCACUCCCAUGUCCACGUCCUCUCUAAAACCCACACUGGUAAAGAUUUUCUUUUUACGAGUUCAUACUUUCUUUUAAGUUGCAAUUGCUAUUAUCUGGUAAGUGAAAAUUUAUAUGUAAAAUGUCUUUUAUUUUUAAUUUUAAAAUUUUAAUAUUAUUAUGUUAAAUAUUAUUUUGUAGGUACCCCUAAGUAUUGGUAAAAGUAUAUGGUUUCCUUAUAAUUAGAAUUUUGUGGUGUUAUAUAUUUAGAUUUUUUUAUAAAAAUGGAAAUAGAUAUUUAUUAGAUAUAAUAUACUUCUGAAAUAGAAAUAGAUAUACUAUAAAUUAACAUACCUUUAUUUUCUAUCAUUUACAUUGCUAUACUAUAAAUUAACGUACCAUUAUUUUCUUUCAUUUACAUCACUAAUUUUAAGUAUUAUCAUGUCCAAUGUAGGUUAAAAGUAUUGGAGUUCUAUUUUUAUAAAAUUUCAUUUUAUACUUAGAUUUAAGCUAUUACGUUGUUCAAAAGUAUAUUGUAUCUAAUGAAUAUCCAGUUCCAUUGCAAAAUAAAUCUAAUCAUAUAAUAAUAUAAAAUUCUAAAUCUGAGGAAAACAUACUUCUUAUUUAUAUAAAAAAAGUAUAUACCUUCUUGUUGCUUUUCUUACUUGUCUUUCAAUUUUUUUUUUUUUUUAUCAAUACUUGAUGAUACCUGUCACAAUAAAAUUUAGUAUAAAAAGUUAAAUUCUUAACAUAAUAAAAAGGAGUAUUUUAUACAUAAAUUUCUACUUGCUUGAUAAUGGCAAUUGCAGCUUUGAAGAAUUUAUACAUUCGUAAAAGUAUAUCUUUUCCACCAUAGGUUGUAAGGGGAUAUGGACAUGUGAGUUAAAUUUAUAUAAUCUCGCUUUACUUGUACUAUUAGUAGAAGUAAUCAGAUCAAUGUACUCUUAUGGACCAUGAUAGUAGAGGCAUGUCACAUCAUUGACAAUGUUAUGAUCCUUACUGCAGCUCAUGGUGGCAAUAUCAUAGAACUUUUUUCCUAUUUACUAUCGUUUGUAGCUGUACAUGUAACCACCACUAUAACUAGAGGUGUUAUACUUUUUCUUGCCUAUUUGGAUAAAUUUAUCCCGGUUUUGGAAAAUAUUGUUUUUCUCACAGCAAAGGUUAUAGGUAGAAUUCACAUUUUGGCAAAAUGCUCAAUGCCAUUAAUUUGGCAUCUGGAACAAGCCUUUGAUAUAUACCUUAGUAAACUAUUGAUUAUAUUGGGGACUUUUUGCGGGCAAAAGAAAAUUUUGACCUCAAUGAUCACUUUUCAUAGUUUUCAACCUCUAGCAAGUAUGACAAAAGAAUUGGUUUGUGUCACUGCUGCUAUACAUUCUUUCUCCUUUGUUUUUGUUAAGCACUGCUGCUUCUUGAAUUGCUCCUAAAAUGUUCCAUUAAUGUAUAAUAUUCAUGAUGCAGUAAAAAGAAAAAGUCUUCAUGGCUUUGCUUUAUGGGGAAUCGAACACAUUAAGGGUUAAACAUUCUUUCUGUUUUUAUAGCUAAACACAAUAAAAAGAUUAUGUAUAUAUUCCUUAAAUUGUUGAAUUCCACCUGGCAUCUGUGUCCUGUAAGCAUCUCAUGUAAUUCCUUAGCUAUUUGAGUUAGCUGUACAAUUAUUGCUUAGGUUCUUAUCUUCUUAACGUGUACAUUUCUUUUCAUUGUAGCAUGCAUUUUGUGCUGAAUGCACUCAACUACUAAUAGUAACUUCCAUUGCUGAAUUACUUUUGACUACAUGUUUUUUCAUGUUGCUCAGUAAAGUAAUGUUGUUCAAACAGUUGUCUAUAUCAAAUCCUAUUUAGCUGACAUGAAAAUACAUUCCACAUGGAAACUUCUUCAACAAUAAAGUCUUGACACAUCAGAAUCGUUGCUACAUAAUGUCUCCUAUCAUUGUUUUCCAUGUUGCAUGUUCAUAAACAUGAUUGGUAAAUCAACGUGUCAGUCGUGCAAGUCAAAUAAUCCAUCAUAUUUGACCUUUUUAAGGUCCUUUUCAUUUGUAAUUUAGAUUGUUUUGAUGGAAGAGUGCAGGCACUAAUAUCAAUAGCUGUGAGCUUCCUAGCAGACAUUUAACAGCUUAAUAAGAACAAAGGGAAAUGCAAUGGAUACGUGGCAUGAUAAAUUUCGGUGGCGUCUGAGCCUCAAUAUAUUCACAUUUUUUUUAUCAUCUGUAAAUUUGUGAACUAAAACUUUGGAGGGGCUCAACAAGCCAAGCCCUUGGAACAAUUAAUUUAAGGAAUCCUGACUAUCAAUUCAUGCAUAAGAUCUGCACAAUAGUUGUUGUCUAUAGAAUUUCUUCUGAACUGAUUGCAGUUUCACAAGUAGUUAUGACUGUUUUGCAUCAAUUUUUUUUUUUCGUAUGGUAGUUAUUAGCUUAGCAUCAUCUUUUUCUUGAGAUGUUGAUUUUUCAGUCAAGUGUAUUUUUAUGUCUGGAUUGCUAUCUAGCUAAGAAAGUUUCCUCUAUUUUUAUUUUUUUUUUUGCGUUGCUCCCUUUUGCUGUUUUUUCUCAACAGAUGGAGAAGAAAAAAUGCAAAGGCUUGGCUAUAUCAAGUUCAAGGAACUGGGCAAAUAUGGAAUAUGAAGUUCUAGUUUACAUAUUUAUGAAGCUGAGCACUAUGGAUCUGCUUUCAAGCAUUUCUCUUGUUUGUCAUUCAUGGCGUGCUGCAUGUUGCAAUCCACUCCUUUGGUUUACCCUUGAUUUGGCAAGAUUGAAGUACUCUUUUGACUGCCCAAUGGACCUUGGCGCUUUACUGCAUAGUUGGCAAAGUACGAGGUUAAUGCAAAUAUUGAACAGUGCAUUAAUUCUCGGUGGGAACAAUAUUAUGUGCUUGAUUUUCCAUUUUGAUGCACAUAUCAAGGAUGAACACUUGAUCUUUGCAGCUGAAAGGUUUUGUUUCCUGCUUUCGCUCCAUGUUGCUAAUCUACCUACCUUACAGAAAGAGAGAANNNNNNNNNNNNNNNNNNNNNNNNNNNNAAAAGAAGAAUCCAUCUAGGCGGGCUGAAUUUUUUAUCUGUGCUGAUCUCCUUUCUGCAGGUGUCCUAGGCUGAAACAACUUGUUCUUCCAGCUUGGAAUCAAAUCACUGCAAAUGGAUUCAGUGCAGCUAUCCGGAAGUUGAAAAAUCUCGAGUCCCUAACGCUUCCAUGCAAUUAUUUCCCCUCUAGUCUCCUGCAGAUAAUUGGUAUAAAUUGUCCAAAGCUCACCAAACUCAAAAUAAUGUCCCCUUUUGAUGCUGAUUUCGCACAGACCUUGUUUAUUUAUCUCCCAAAUCUUAAGGUCUUAAGUUUGAGGUGCACAAUAGUACACAAAGAUGCUUUGAGACUCACAUUAAUGCUCUUUCCUAACCUGGAGGUGCUGAAUGUAGCUCACAUGCUUUUCAUAGAUAUUCCUCCACCUGCAGCUUUUGAUCCUUCUGGAGGCCCUCUUGUAAUGUGUUGGGUGCGUGACACAACAUUAGCUGAACUGGCCUCAAAGCUAAAAGGCGUAUGCUGGUGUCAAACACAAUCUUGCAUAAUGUGUCGGCGUGUCUUGAUUGAUUCAGGAUGCCCCAAAUGGAUUGAAUAUGGGGAGGAUUGGCGAGAAGACGAGGAAAGUUGUUUUGACGUCUGAGCAAAGUGUGCCGAGAACAUCUCAGGGUAUAUCUAAGCAGGAUUACUUCCUGUUGGUCAAUAAAUAAACUUCUUAUGCUGAAAUAAAAGAAGGCUUCAUUGGACUUUUAUGUUAAAUUGGAAACUUACUCUAGUUUAACAAGCAAUGAUUAAGUUGUUUUCCUUUUCAGAUGUCCAUUUUCUUGCACUGCAUGCACUAUUAUUUUACAGUAAAGCAAAUGAUCCUCUUUGGGUUAUCCGAGGAAUGGUGGUAGUUAAUAACUAUCAUGACAGUUAUUAGUUACAAAGGUCAUCCAGAAUGAAGUUAGUUCUGAAAUUUCAACAGAAAGGCUUAUCUUAGCUGGAAUGUAAAAGAAACUAGCUAUUGAAAUCAGUUGUGAAUUUUAAUUGAGAAUGUCUCAGAAAAUUUCCUUGAUUAUCUUUCUUAACUACUGCUUUUCUUUCUCUUCCUCUUCUUUCAUUUUUCACUUCCUUGACAACCAAACACUGCUCCUGCAAUUAUUACUGCCAUUACUUUUUUUAUCUUAAAUUAUGUUACAACAGCUAUUCUACUUGCGUAAGUUUUACUGUUUGCAUUCUGUUGUUGGGAUGCGGAAGAAAUAGGAAAAUAAAAAUUUUAUGAAGUAAUAAUAUUUAAAGAAAAAAUAAAUAUUUUUUUAUUUUUUUUUACAGCAAAAUAUAUGAUAGUUAACUAAUUGGGUUUGUUUCAAAUUAUAAAUCGUUCAAAUAUUCAGUCUCUUUAAAUAUUCAGUCUCGAAUGAUAUUUAUAAAGAAUUAUAAUGAAAAAAAUUUUAAAAUUUUAAAUUCUUGUAAAGAAAAUUUUAAAUAUUUAGACUCUAAUGAUAUUUUGACAGAAUUAUAAUAAAAAAAUUUUAAAAUUUUAAAAUUCUUGUAAAGAAAAUUUUAAAAUUUUAAAAUUCUUGUAAAGAAAAUUUUAAAAUUUUAAAUUUCUUGUAAAGAUAUCUUGANNNNNNNNNNNNNNNNNNNNNNNNNNNNNNNNNNNNNNNNNNNNNNNNNNNNNNNNNNNNNNNNNNNNNNNNNNNNNNNNNNNNNNNNNNNNNNNNNNNNNNNNNNNNNNNNNNNNNNNNNNNNNNNNNNNNNNNNNNNNNNNNNNNNNNNNNNNNNNNNNNNNNNNNNNNNNNNNNNNNNNNNNNNNNNNNNNNNNNNNNNNNNNNNNNNNNNNNNNNNNNNNNNNNNNNNNNNNNNNNNNNNNNNNNNNNNNNNNNNNNNNNNNNNNNNNNNNNNNNNNNNNNNNNNNNNNNNNNNNNNNNNNNNNNNNNNNNNNNNNNNNNNNNNNNNNNNNNNNNNNNNNNNNNNNNNNNNNNNNNNNNNNNNNNNNNNNNNNNNNNNNNNNNNNNNNNNNNNNNNNNNNNAAAUAUGUUUGCAAUAUUAAAUUAUAUUAAUUUUCAUUUAUUAGCCAUUGACCUAUUAAAUGAAAUUUUAAAUCUCAUCUAUUAAUUUCAUUCUACCUUAUGCAAGAUUUUUAUGAUCAAUACUAAUAGAGAACAAAUAUAAUAUUUUUUAAUUUAACCUAGAGUGAUGAUCCUAUUUCAAUCAUAUAAAUAUAUUCAUACAGUUUCUAAUAUAUUCAAGUAAUAUGUAAAAUAAAUUAAAAUGUAAAAGUUCUGUAUAAAAUUAUUUAUUGAUUUUAAGUCAAAGUAUCACUUAUACAACCGUUACUUGAAUAAGUUAUAAAGACAUGUUAUUUUUCAUAUAAAUUUCUUAAACAUAUCAAUUUAGUUUAGUGUACUUAUUUAUAAAAUAAUUAUUUACAUAUUUAUUUUAAAUAUCUUCCAUAUUUUAACGUAUAAGAUCGGUUACUUUCUCUAAAAAUAAUAAUAUAAUAUACCUUAGUCUCAAUAACUCUAAUUAUUGUUCAAUCAUGAUAAGAAUAUCGAUCAGAAAUAUUUGAAAACAUUAAAAUCUUACAAUUAUAACCACAUUUCCUUUGCAGAUAAUAUAGUCUCAUAGGCUUUAUUUUUAUUCAAAAUUUAAUUAAAUUAAUACUAAAAUAAAUAAUAGUAUUUAUAAUAUGUUUAAAUACUUAAAAAUACAUAAACAAUAAUAUGUAACUAUAACUAACAGUUUGGCUGUAAAAACAUAUUACUAACACUUGUACAUAAAGCUUUAUAGAUGUUUGUGGACUACUUAUUCUAAAUUUCCCUGAGGACAUCAAUCUUAUUUUCUUAUAUUCCCUAGGAUAAGAUCUUUGGUAAUGAAACCUUUGCUAUCGAAACAUGUUUGGAUUCCAUGUCAAAUAUUACGGUUUCUUUUUCUCUUUAUGUUUUUUUUUCCUAAUUUGUCCAGGCUGACAACUUUGAACUUCUAUUACAAUGAUAUUACCAUAGAAGAGAGAAGAGCUAAACGAAACUCUCAAUAACCAUGCUGCAGCUGCAACGGUGACCCCAUGUUUGAGUAAACCUUUUCUUUGUCUUGUGGGGGUUGAUUUUUAACGUCCGGUGAUCUAAGCAGGAACCAUGUAUAGAUUGAAAAACUGGAACUCCAGGAUGCUGAAGCUCACUGUGGCAAUGCUAAUUUAGAUGUAGAUUUUCCAGUGUCCAAGCUUUUGAAGCAAGCUCCUCAAACCUGUUUGUGAAGAAGAAUUGUGAAAUUUUUCUAGGGAUUCUGUAAGUUAUUCAACAGGGUUACUUGUAGACACCAACUGCCUACAAGUCUACACUUAACUUGAGAAUUUAUCACAACCUGUGAUUGGAAUCCACAUCAGCAAAAUGAAUAUAUUAGUCAAACAUCACACAUUCUUGGAUGUUGACAUUGAUGAGCUCUUUACAAAUUUUAAAUCAUCAAAACAUUGACUAUAACUUAUUUCUUUGAAUUGGUUGAUUAUACCUUAAUGAAGCUGCUUUCAAAGGACAAAAAAAUUGGAUUCUGUAGGCAAGAAAAUUGCAAAGCUAAUGAUUUGCUUGUAAGAAAGACAUGAGAUUUCUUCCUCAUUCGCCUAUCUCCAAAUCCAUACAAGAAUUGAAAAAACUCUAUUUGCAUAUUUCCACUUACCCAUCAUUUUGAAUAAUUCGUAUUAAUUGGUUGGAAAUAUUAAAAUUAGUGAAUAUUAGACCAACCCCACCCUGCGUGGAAGAUCCUAAUUAUGUGGUAGCCAUGUUAAGUCAGAUAUUAUUUGUAUGGAGAAGAUGAAAGCAAGAGCAUGUGAUGAAGCUCUUGUGUUUGAAUACGUGUGAGCCACUUGGUGGUCUUGCACGUGUCUGUAGAUGAUGCUCUAAACUCUUCACAAAUAAUAUAUUUAUUCUACAAAAAUAUUCUUCCAUAUUUAUUUUUCUAUUAGAGAAAAAUAAUCUAUCUCACAAAUAAUAAAUCGAAAGCUUAGUGAUAAGAUGGAAAUUAUGUCGAAAUAAAAAGGGCAUUUCUGUAAUUUUAACUGGAUUAUUAAUUGGGAGUUUUGGCUCUUUGCUCGCUCACCACACAGGUUGCUUCAUCUAUAUAUAAUAGAACACAACACAUACCCCUGCCUUUAUUGCAAACUUCAAUUCAAUUACUAGCUUUUGCUUCUUUCUUAGUGUCUAUCACAAUCUCUUCUCUUCUCUUCUCUUCUGCUGCAGUUUCUCAUAAUCAAGAAUCAUGAGGAUUCCAAUCCCAAGUCCAAGACUCGCAUUUCUGGUCUUGUUGAUCAUACUUGCUCUUAGCCAGGUCUCAAGUUGCCGCCACCUCCACAUAAAUAAAGGUGAUCAAACGUCAGAGCAAACAGCCAAACCUGUAUUCUUUCCGUUUUCUUGGCACUUUCCUGCAAAAGCUCCUCAAGGAUCCGGCAAAGAGAAGAUCAGCUCAGUUUAUGGAGUUUCUUAUAAAAGAGUUCCAGGAGGGCCAAACCCACUUCACAACUGAUCAGCUUUGAGAAUACAGAUUACUUUCCUGCCAAAUUUUAUAUAUAUGUUCACUCCUAUACAGUUCUCUUUUUUUUUUUGGAUGUAUAAUUGAUACAGUUAGACCAGAAAGAAAAUUUUGUUAGUGUUUUGAUGAAUUUAAGAAAUUACAGAAUCAUGCAAAAAUAUCUUGCAAGAAUUUUCAGCUAUAUAAUUUCCCUGAAUUGACUUAUUCCUUUUGUUUUUCCUGGUAGAGCUGCAGAUUAUACGUUAGCCAAAGAGUUGCACUGUUGCAUGUUCUGUUUCUAUCAGUGAUUGACAACCAGAUUGUGAAAAAUGAGAAAGGUCAAAGUUUGUGAACAGGGAAUUCAUGCUUAAUAAUAAAAAAAUCAAAUUUAAGGACAGCAGAUUAUUAAAUUGGCCUCAUACACCGACUAAUGUAAUUAAAAUUGGCAAGUAUUACAGUGGCUUGCAAAAGAAGUCAAAUCUAAUACAUCAACAAUUGGCUUAUUGAGCUUGGAGUUAUUAUAUUUGUUGCAGUAGGCUUGAAGGUGGGGCAAAAGCUUGGCAUGCUAUACUGUGCACCCAGAAGCUGAAAGAAAAGAAAGAGAACAAAAUAAAAUAUUUUAGUUUCAUGGGUAUCAGUGUAUGCUUGCUAAUUGUUUUUUCCUCCAAGUCAGACUAUGUAUUUGUAAGAAUUCAAAGAUGUAACUUCCAUGAUUAAAAAAACAAACUGGAAUGUGAAGGGUUUUAUUGCAAAUGUGCAGCUGCCGUCCAUACACAAGUUAAUGCUCCUCUGUGUUUAGGUAAGAUAAUGGAAGGCUUAAGGUAGCAACAAGCAAAUAGGCGAGCAAGAGGUAGAAUGUAAGGUGGGGCAUGGGCCAUAUAGUCAUAUCUUAUGCGCCACGUAGGUAGACAGAUUGGAAUGAUCAUCCAAUGGGUCCCUGGAGCUGGAAGAGUGGAAGGAAGAAGAAAGGAUAGCUUAUCGUAUGGUACACCUCUUUUCUUUCAGAUGGUUUGAUUUAUAAAGAGAUUAGCUUGACUUUCUCGCAAGAAUUUGUGGGAAAGACGCUGAAGACAAGCUUCUUGUUUUAUUAAGAAACGCAGAAUUAACUAUGGAUCUUCACAUUUUUGUUCUCUUUAUUUACCUGUGAGAGAGAUGCUAUGUACAAUUACGCUUGAUUCAGAACUAUCAAAACUAAGUUGCGUCCAAUGACUAUAGAGGUAAUCUAAGCUUGGACUUUCUAAGAAAAGAAGAUUACGAAUCACGGGAACAAACUUCACAUUCUAUUUCUGUCUCGGGUGAAACUUUCUGAAUACAGAUAACUGAGGCCAUGCCUCGUGCAUACUCCUGCAAAAUUAUCAUACAAUUUGCCGAAUGAAUCACAGCAAAAGAAGCAACUUUACAAAUUAUCCUCCAUUAUGAUACGCAGAGUCCAAUAUCAAAGUGUUAUGAGUAAGGAAUAAAGAAGUUUUGAAUUAGUCUUUACAUUCAGUUGCGACGGUAGAAAGUAGCUGGGGUAUAGUAUAAAUAGGAACUUAAGAACUUGUAAAAAUAAAAAUAUCCAAGAUCAUUAGCAAUCAAAGAUAAACUCUUUCUCUCUACUUCUUCUCUUUCCUCUUCUCUAAUUCUCUCUAUUACUUCUCCCCCUUCUUAUUUCUUUUCUCAGCCCAUUCUACUCUCUCUUUCUCUCCCUAUUUCUCUAUUAACUUCCUGCUGUCUUUCUUCUUCUUCUCUUCUAUUCUGCUUUCUUCCCUCUAAUUCUUCUGUAUUUUUCCUAAAAUUUCUUUCUUUCCCGUUCUUCUUCCCUCUUCUUUCUUCUUGACAAAAUCUUUCUUCUUCUUUUUCCUCUAUUCUUUCCUUCUUUCCUUUCCAGAAUUUCCUUCCUUCUGUUCUUGCUCUGUUUCUUCUUUUUAUUGGCAAAACCUUAUUUCUGCACUUCUUUCUUUCCUCUGGAACCCCUUUCUUUCUUAAAUUCUUGAACCAAAAAGAAAAAUUCUUCUUGUUCUAUUGUUUUCUGGUUUCCUUUCUUUUCUUUCUUUAAUUCCUCACUUCCAGCAUUUCAAGAACUUGUUUCUUGAAAUUCUUGAAAUUUUCGUUCCUUCCUUUAUUCACAUUCUUUUCGUGUUCUCCCUUUCUUGGAAUUCUUCUUCUCGCUUCAUUGAUUUUUCUAGAAAAUUUCUCCCUUAAAUUAUGAUUUUGCUUCCUGAAAAUCAGAUUACUUUUUCUUAAUUUUCUUUGUUUUCUUGAAAUUCUUGAAUCAUGGAAGUGCAAUAUUUGGCACAAAUUUUUCUUAACGAAGUUUAAGAAAUUCUAGACAGAAGAUUGAAAGAACAGAAGGAGUGGGAGGAACAAAGAUUUGAAAAAGUGAUUCAGAAAGUAUAAAAUUUAGAUCAGAAAUGGAAAGGUUUGAGCAAUCAAUUCAAGUGAAAAAAGGAAACGAUUGCAGUCUUGAUCAAUGAAAGUCAAAUUUUUGAAAAGCCUAGUGAAGAACAAAAUGUCUCAUGUGAAAUUUCCGAUAAGAAUAGCAGGCGGAGAAAGAACUUUUUGUUGACAUGUUUAAUGUAAGUGAGAUCAAUAAGGAGAAGAACGAUAAAGAUAGUGAGGAUGGACAACUAGAGUCUGAAAUGAGGGCAAUAUUAGUUGAAUCUGAAAUGUUUGCACAAUUCAGUUCUAAAACUAAGUUUUUUUCUACUGAAAUUCUUGGAAAUGUUAUUAAAAAAAAGAAAAAUAAGGAUGUUACAAAAGGUGUGUGGCAACAUUUUUGCCAAGAUAGUAUGCAUUCUUAUGGAAGAUAAAUGGGAAAUGGUAAGAAGAGAAAGGAAGAAGGUUUUGACAUCAAAUUCUAUUGCGAUCUUGAAGGAACAAGCAUUGGAAAUUUGGAGAAGGAAAAGGAAAAAAAAAAGUUUAACAUCUUCAGCCAAGCCUUAUGGUCAUUUGUGCUAUGGUCAUUUCAGCUGAAGCACGUGCAAGAAGUUAACAUUUGGGGUUUUCAAUUCAAGUGAUUACUGACCAGCAAAAGCUACCAUGUGGAAUUUUCACAUCUUUCUGACCAAUUCUUGAGGAAAGAAGUUUCGCAUCUUUCUGACCAAGUCUGAGAAAAGAAGUAACGGAAAUUCAUUUCAAUUUUGAGUAUUUUCUUCAUUCUUGAUGACAAGAAUGAUUUCAAGGGAUGGAAAAUGUUAUAAGUAAGAAAUAAAAUAAGUAUUUAAUUAGUUUUUCCAUUCGAUUGUAAAUGUAGAAAGCAGUUGUAGUGCCCAAAAUAGUAUAAAUAGGAACUUGUAAAGAUAAAGGUAUCCAAAAUCAUUAGCAAUCCAACUCCAAGAUCAUUAGCAAUCAAACUCUUCCUCUCUACUUCUUCUCUUUCCUCUUCUCUAAUUCUCUCUGUUACUUCUCCCCUUUCUAUUUCUUUUCUCAGCCCAUUCUACUCUCUCUUUCUCUCCCUAUUUCUCUGUUUCAAAGGGAUUGCAAGUCUGUCAUAUAACACAAAGGAAAUUAGAUAAAAUUUGGCUAUUUAAAUUAUGACUGCCAAAAUCACUGAUACAAAUAUCAUAAACAAAUGUAGAAAGCUGAUUGAGCAAGAACACAUCAUUAUGACCUCGACAAAUUCUAUUGCUGGAAGCCAAAGAAUAUUGCAUUCCUCAGCCCAUAAUGAUCAUCUGCAUAUGGUAAGCUAAACAACUCAAUAUACAUCAAAAGUUCUAAGAACCAAGGUUCCGAAAAAGCUCUGGAAGAUGUGCAUUUGUUAGCUUAGUCCUCUUGCUGAUCUCAUGUUUCUUCUUCUUGAUCUUUGGCUUAGUGGAAAUGCCCUGCACCUGGGCUGCGGCCCUCCUCUUUGCAGUGUUUGUGGCAGGUUUCAUGCCAUUCUUCUGUAAAUCCUUCUCAAUAUCAAGCAUAUCACGAGGCAAUUCAAUCUCCCGAAAGAGCUGUUUAAGGUCAUCAUCCACCUUAAUAACUGCCCUGGGGUCAUUUGGAUAUGCAAUGUCCUCCUGUGAAUCAAAGUUUGAUAGCAACCAUAUCUGACCAGCAGCUUUCAGAGCCUACCAAAAUAAUGAAUUUUUUUUCAAGCCACAAUGAGAAAAACAUAGAAUUAUACUGGCAAGACAAGAAAAGUUUGAGCACAAAAGAGUAAUUACUAAUACUUGAUCACUGCGAAACUUGUGAAGUAAAAUUCACAGAUAUUGCUCCAAAGUACAAAAAUAAUAAUUUAAAAAAAAAGUACCAAACAUCCAUCAAUAGUACAUAAUAAACUGAAAAGAAUUGAACAGAAGAAAGAAAGACAUCACAAGUAAUUCAUGGCAAAUGCACUUCAUAGGAGGGGAAAUAAGUGCAACAGAAGUCCAGAUCAAAGAGGUCCAGUCACCACUCCUCAUGGGUAUGAUGGACCAAAACAAGUGGAAGAAUACAACAAUCAUUUAUCUGCUGAAAAUUUUGAAGCAUGUUAAGGCACUCGGGUGAUUUUCAUCAAUCCACUACUGUAAUUGCUCUAGACGAUGGCAAGUGUACUCUUUUACAUUGAUUCACUUGAUGGUCACUGUUGUUUGGUUUAGAGAGAGAGACCUCAAAGUUAUACUAAACAAAAAUUGAUAUCAUAUAUGAAAUUAAAAGAAAUUAUACACAACUUAAUUAUAGCUAAAGGAGAAAAUUCAAGUUAAAGUAGAAAAGACUUUCUUCAGAACCAAAACCAACUAAAAAGAAAGGGAGAGAUAAGGGCAAACAAAGGAAAAGGCAAAAACUAACCUAAAACAUUAAAGAGAAUGAUUCUGAUAAUCAGAACUCAAAGCAAAUCUUUCUCUUCAUUCAGAGAAACCAUUUUUACUACAAGUAAACUCGCUUUAAGAAAGCUGGCAACAAAAGCUAAAGAGGUUUCAGUUGCUUCAUUCAAAUGACAGAAAUGUAUUGGGGGCCACCCAGCCGAAUUCUUAUGCAUCCAGUAUUAUAUUGAUUCACCUGCUCAGAUUUUACUUGGCAAUAUUGAACAUUUUUCUCUCAAAGAUUCAGCCAUGAAAACCGAACAAAUGGUACAAUUCACGAGAUAAAACCGAAAAGUGAUAUCCAAUAUUUAGAUAUACCUGCAAAUCCUCCAUGACAGUUGGGUAUGCAUCCUUGAGAUCAAUGACAGCAAUGCCCUCAGGAAAUUUUCGUAUCAAAACAAUUAGCUGACUCUUGUCCUUCAAGUCAUGCUUGGACUGUAAUAAAUUAAAAACCCAAAAUAUUAUCUUCCAUGAAAAGGGAAUUAUAAGGUAGUAACUAAAACAGUAACAAGACUUGAUUACUGAUCCAAAAAUGCUUAACCAUAAGUACUUGAAGGCACAUAAUUUUUAUGUCACCUUGUAUGAGAAGCGCUUCCCAUCAUAGUAGACUUUUGGGUUGUUCCUCAAACUGUCGAAGACAGCUUUAUUGUAGUUCACAUCAACAAAACAUGCUUCAUUUAUUUGCUCAGGUGUAAAAGCUAGCCUUUUCUGAAAACAAGCAAAAAACAUACAUCAUGAUGGUUAAUGGCUUACAACACGUGUGCACACACACACUCACACUCAUACACAUACAAUCAAACAAAAUAGAAGAGAGAGAAAAUGAUAUAUGCACAUAGGAGGAAAAUCUCGGGCGUAGUACAAGAAAAUCAUAAAUUAGAAGAAAAGAAAACUAGUAAAAACAACUCCAGAAAGAAAUGCAGAGCAAGCAUGCAUAACAUCAACAAAGCAGUACAAAAGCACCAAACAGAAGUAGAGAUGACAAGAGAGAUAGAGAGGGAGGGUGUUGGGAUCCCACUACAAUGUUCCAAGAAAGAGAAGCUUCAAAGAUAAGAGAGGGAAGGAGAGAGGAGAACAAGGCUUCCAGCAAGGAAAAGGCACCCAAAAUCUGGAACAUGACCGAGUACAAACUAGUCAAGCAAAGAGAUCAACUAAAAUCCCAUUUUGCGUUCACAUGCAUACUUUGUUGUUACCCUCAUUAAAGUGUGAAACACAACAACCAAUACAGUAUGCCACUCACAUUCUUUAGCUAAAACAUCCACUCCCAACUAACCAACAUCUUCACAAGCACCUAGUCUCAUGUUGACAGGCACAACAUAUUAACUUAAAAAAUAAAAGUGAACAACAUGAACUGCAUAUCCACAACUGAAUAAUGCAAAAGUAAAUAAUCAAUUGUAUCCUAUGCCUCAUUGCCCUGAUGGAAACUAACAAUAAACAGCAUAGUGGUUUCAGAAAGUCCUUGAUCGUUCUUCAGCAAAGAGUCAGCACAACCUAGCAGAACACCCAGAACACAUAUAUUGAUUAAUAGAGAAAACCAUUAGUUAUGUCAACAGCAAUAACAUUACAAAAAUUGCAUACCACACAGGUGGCCACAUUUCAAAAUACUAUAACCAAGCUCAUCUUGAUCUUAGCCUAUUACCCAAAUCUUAGCACAACCACCAUCAUAAAACAAGGAACACCAUGAAAUUCAAUUCUGCACAUUUCUGAUCCAAUAAGAAUUAAAUGUUUUGUGAAACCCAGAAUUAUCUGGAUCUAUAGUUGGUCCCACUCCCCACCCCCUCAAAAGAAGCAAGUCACACGGUGAAAUUGCCAGCAGAUUAAAAUACGCAUGCAGGACAUGUGUUUGAUUGUAGAAACUCUUUUCUUUUGCAAACAAUGAUUAAUAUAUAUGUGAAAGUCAGAGGGCCUUCUUAUUGGUAGAACAAAAAUUGCUGCCUGCAUACUUUCCAAUAAUGUAUCCUAUCAUAUAAAAAUGUAAAAGUGGCAGCAGAAGCAACAGGAAAUAACAAUGUUUUAAAGACUCAAUAGGCUUGCAAAAUAAACCAUGCAAACUAUAGAGGCACUAAUCUUUUUCUCUAUCAACCCAUCAUGAACAUAAUGGAAAAGCUACAAUCUUAUUUAGCAACAUUGGAAAACAAAAUUAAGGACAGGCACUUAGGAAUGAACCUCUAGCAGCAGGUCUAUAACACGCUUGAUCUGAGCUCCAACAGGGCCUUUACGAAUACUGUUGAUGUGUUGUAGUCUCUCCGUGUCAUUUGAAAAUUUGACAGGUGGACCUGGAGUCCUAGGAUUUGUUAAUGGCGAUGCAGCUACAGGUGUAGUUUUUUGAAAUGAAGCAGAUUUAGAAGGCCCUGCUUUAGCUGCAAUGCUGGUGAGGGUCGAUUGGCACUUCUCUUGUUGCUUCUUGAAUCUAUCUAAUCUUUCUUGCAGUGCCAUCUCUGCGCAGGAACGACUACUUAAAUAUUCAAAAGUGGUAUUACAUGUUAAAUAGCAUCCAAAAAGGGGGAAAAAAACAAUAUUAACCUUAUAAAACCAGGAAAACAAAUUCCAGGACCUCUUUGAAGAAUCCAAAAUUAAAUGGUUGAUUCGAGCUCAUAGAAUUUAUCUUCUAAUUUCUCCAAUAUCAACCAUAUAGAUAUGACUAACGAUAUGAUUAAAGAUCAACCAGCCAAUACAAUCACACAAAAAAUUUCUUUUUCCCCCUUUCCGAUAAAGGAGAACCAAAAAAGUUUGUUCCAUCCGAUUUAUCCUUACUAACAAGAAUAUUCUAUGAAACGAAGAAGAACCCCAUAACAACAGUCUCCAAAAUUCGAAACAGUAGCAUAGUACCAAAAUCAAGAGAUCAAAAAGUAAAAUGUUAACCUGUUUGAUCGCAACUUUUAUCUUUUCCUUUCUGAUGGUUUGAUCGCCCUAAUUGCAGUUUCUAUCUGAUGAUAUAAUUUCUCUAAUUCCAAUUGCAGUGGAAAAAAAAAUAGAUUAAGGGCGAGAAGAAAACAAUUAUGACGGUAGAAAUGGGGGGAUGGGAAGGUGGUGAAGGACAAAGCUAAGAUUGAAAUUGAAAGUAACAGAACACUCGACGAUUGAAGUCAAACAAAAAUAGAGGACAUUAUCCUCAACUGAUAUAUCCCAGUUGAAAUAUUGGAUCCAAGAAAGUAAAGCCUAAAACCCUAAUUUUCAAUGUUAAAUCAGCCGAAAAUAGAGAGAAGCACCAUAUACAUGUGUACGCGCGAAUACGUAUAUGCAAGGAAUUGGAUCGGUGGUAUCGAGAGACCAAUGUCCCUCCCUCUCACUCCGCCUUUCUUUCUGCUGGAAAACGCAAAUUCUUGCAUUUCUUGCUAUAAAAGGUAAAAUAAUAGAGCCAAACACAGCCGCCCAAGCCAUGAGUAUUUUGUGGGCCUUCGUCUCGGGUAGAAAGCUUUGAAAGCCCAUUGCCAAUUUAGAACGACCUCGUUUUGACCUAGAAUCACAAAUUUGUGCCCACUAGCUCGAGUCUUUGUAAAUACAGCAUGAACACGUGGCCUGAAGAUCGCAUUAUUAUUUAUACCCGAGCUUUGACAUUUCACGCUCAGCAAGAACAAUUACAUGCUUAGAGAGAGAAGACAGUGUCGGAAACCAAGUAUACAUACAGUUUUUGGUCGCCGGAGGUACGUUGGUUUUUGGAAAUGGUUCCCAAGGACUCAUCGGAGGAGCUUCCCGACGGAUGGACUGUGCAAUUUAAUGUUCUAAAGACGGGUCGCAAAAUUAAGGUAAAGUUAGAACUCUCGUGUUUUCAGCUAAUUUAGGGUUUUAUGGCCCUACUUUAUAUAUUUUUUUUAGCUGGAAGAUUGUUGUUUUUGAGUUUUUAAGAGCAUAUACAAGUGCGUGGACGAAUAAAUUUUUAAAUUUUAAGCUUACGGGGUAGAGGUUGUUGAAUGGCUGACUAUCAUCUACUGAUGGUAGUUUAUUUUUGUAUAUUGAUCUUUGAAAUAAUAAAGAAAGAGAAUGUUUUAACUCAAUUAGAUGGACUCUGGGGUUUUGUCUAGCUCAUGUAAUAGUAAUGUUCUUGAUAAUUCAGCUGCAUGUUGUUUGCUAUGCAAUUCAAGUUUGCUGUUUUAAAUUUUUCAAAGGAUUUGCACGUAGAUAAUAUGAAUUUGAUGUUGUUUAGGACAGUGUAUAUCUUUUCAUGUUAUUGGAUUACACUCUCAAAUGACCUGUUUUAUGAAAUAAAUUAAAUCGGUGUAUAGAAGGGUCUUUUAUCACAUUGUAUUUGACUUCUGUGAUGACCAGAAUCUUGCUCGGUUCAUGAACUUCAACACUUGUUCUUUAAAAUUUAGGACAAAAUCUUUGUCCAUGAUAUAAGGGUUUAAAUUGCUGAACCAACUCACUUCGUUUGUUGCAAUGUAAUUAUGCUUAAAUAAAUGAUAAGCAUAUGGGAAAUAUGGAAUAUUAUGGUGCCCUGAUUUGUUAAGUUAGCUUCAGUUUGAGUAGAAGCCUCUCACUUUUUCUCUUUUAUAUUUUAGGGAUAAGUCUAGGUCAGUCCAAUUUUUCCCUCAAUCUGUCUCAAUAUAUAUAAGAAAAUUAUUCACUUUUAAAAUAUACAUUAUUUAUUAAUUAUAAAAUUCUUUAAAAAUUGUUCGUGUAAUACGUAAUAAUAUAAUAAUAUGAUUUUUAAUCAUUUACAAAAAUAAAAAUGUAGAGAUUAAUCAAAUGGUACUUCAAAUUUCUUUUGUCCGUUCUAAUUUUUUUGGAUGGAGGUACAAAGGCUGGAUAAUAAAUGAUAGGCUUCUCCAGAGGGUUGAAUAACCUCAAAUAGAUAGAUGAAAAGACUCGUACUUCAAUUUUAUUUUGUUAUUUCAAUUUUUACUUUGAUUCUCAAAGAGUAGGGAAUGAAAAUUUUGCAAAAUUCAGCCCCAUUUAUUGUUAAUGAAGAUUGCAAAUUUAUAUAUAUAUAUAUAACACGGAAUUAUGUGUAUAUAUAUAUAUAUAUAUAUAUAUGUAUAUAUAUAGAUUUUUGUGCAUGUUUAUGAAAAGGUUGCAUGUGAUCUGAAAGGUCUCAUUUUUGAGGAAGUGUUUGAUUUUGGGUUAGAAUUUCAAUUGAAGUGAAUUCCUAUAUGAGAAGGAAAAAGAUAUCCUUGUUUGGUUUCCAUUGUUUUCUGUAACUGGCAAAAAGAUAGGAAUGGUAGCAGGAUGGGUCAGGGUUUUUUGUUUCAAUUUAUCAAUAUAAUUUAUUUACUAAAAAAAUAUAUGUUAGACAUAUACAUAUAUUUUUAUUAAAAUCAUAAUAUUUAUAUGCUUAAAUAUGUAAAAUAAAAUAAAUUUUUAAAUAAAACUAAUAUAAAUUGUCAUUGGUCGGGUUAUUGGAAUUCGUAGCAGGGUUGAGACGAAUUGCUAUCCCUAAAAAACAAUGAAAGGUCAUAACAACACUUGCACGGAGCAAAGAAUCUUGAUAAUACAGUUGGAAUUUGGUUUAUAUUCCAAAUCUGUAAAAUGCUUUAAAAAGGCAUUAUGGAUACCUUGCUGUUUACUUGCAUGUUCAGAAGAUCCUUGUAGCAGAACCCACGUCAAGAUUACUAGCACAUAGUCCCCUUAUGCAAAUUUUGACUAUUUUGGGAAACAAUUGUAAAAGUGGAUGAUUUGUUGUGGACCUGUGGUAAGUAAAUUAAAUGAUGCUGGUUGAUGAAAAAUGUGAAGAAUUUAGGUAAGCUAUAGUUUGAGUAAAAGCAUAUCACAACGUUGUUGGUAUAGUAAGUGCUGUAUCUAAUCUGUUAAGAGCACAGAAGAUCGGUGUAUAAUUUGUUAAUCAAUUCAUUUGUCUUUGUUAGCAUAUUUAUUAUUAAAAUAACCGAAGACUUGCCUAUUUUGCCCUGUGAAGUUAACCAGCAAGUUGUUUUCAAUAUCUGUGGCAUGCUAGGUUGCCGGAGGAUUUUCAUUAAAUGAAUUUUGGAGAUCACCACAUUAAAUGUAUUAGCAUAUGUAAAAACAAUCAACUGCCACUAUGCUGGAUUUCAUUGCUAACUGCAUGCUUUUUAGUUAUGGUGAUUUGUAAUGUUGGAAGACAAUGCUAAAACUUGGUCUGAAUAUUUCUCAACCGAAAUAGUCAGCUAUUAAUAUUGCUAAAGAAGGCAAUGGGAAUUGCAAUUUAUGAAGUAAUAUCAGAGACACAGUUAAUUAAAAGUUUAAUCAACACAAUGAAUGGGUUUCUUCUGUUGCUAUGUUUUCCUUUGAGGUUGUCAGUUAGAUAUUUUAACAGUCUGUAUUUAUGAAGUAACUUGGUCCAUGUUACCUUCAGAUCAAUGAUGUUAUGGACAGAAUAACUAUCUUAAAAAAAAAGUGAGUAAAUGAUAAUGGCAAAAGGGGGAGGAGCACAAAUCUGGGGAAAACCUUACUUAACAAAAUUUUGGAAUAUGGUUGUCUAACCAUGACAUUUGGCCUUUGUAGUAUUAUACGAACACUGGAAAUGGUAAAAAAUUCUACUCCAAAGAUGACUUCAUAAGCCAUAUUAAAGCACAAAGUACUCGACUUGACCAGCCUCAACCAACUAAGAGUUCAAUUGGAGGGCCCACAAAUAAUAACCUGAUGGUCAGUAUGGUGGCACGAGACCUUGUGCCUAUUUAUUGUUUUGCCUCCUUCAUUUCUCUUAAUUUCUACUUAUGUGGUCAAUGUUAAAAUUAGCAGUUUAUGGAACACACAAAUGAACAUCCUGAAUGGUUACCUCACGGUUGGAUCGUGGAGUUGAGAACCAGACAAAGUGGCUACGCAAGCGGAAAAAUAUACAAGGUAUUAAUUAUGUUCAUAUAAGAGUCAUUUUAAAUUUAUUUUUAAGUAACUUCUUUAUCACUCUGUCUUUUCAUUUAAUGUCAUUGGAUGAAUCUUUAUUAAUAUGCAAUAGGCACGGUCACUUGGAGGCUGCCAAUCAUUAAUUGGCUUAAGCAACAUGAUUAACAUAUUACAUGCACAUGAUAUGUGCUUGAGACAUCAAAAUUUUCCUUAUAAAUAUCUUUUUAUACACAUGAUUGCAACUUCUUCCGGUAAAGCUACUUGGUUUACCUUAUAAUUGUAAAAUAUAAACCCUUUCUGGAUAAAAUUUGAACAUGCACGCUUAAUCAUUUUUUUCCUAGAAUGCUCUGGGUGCUUUGCGCUUAUGAACUUCUUUCCAUAUGAAUUUAUUUUUUCUUUUAGACGAUUUGAUCAAAUGCUAAAAUGUUAUUAACAUAGUUGUCAAAUUAAGAUUCAAAUCGAGAAUCGAAAUCUUCAUUUUAUGAAUAGAGAAUUGAGAAUCGGAUUGGCGUAAGAUUCGAUAAAAAUUCUAAAAAAUUAAUUAAAAAUAAUAUAUGUUCUAAAAAUAAGUAAAAAAUAUAUUUUAUGAUGACAUGUUUUGAUAAAUAUAUAAUUAUCAUUUAUAUAAUUAGAAAUAUUCUUUAUAAUAGAAUAAUAUGUGUUUUCUAUGUUCAUAGUUUUAUGUUGUAAAUUAUGAAAACAUGUCAUUAUAUAAAUUCUGGAAUUGUAGAUAAUACUUAGUAUUAUAUAUAUAUGCCAAAACUCGCAUUUAAAUUUCAUCAAAUAAUUAAAUAGUAAAAAAAGAUAGAAGGAUUUAAUAUUAUUAAGGGAGAUUUAUAAUUUAGUCUCUGGGUAUUGUCACUAUUUACAAGUCAAUUUCUGCAUUGAUACAUUUUCCAUCAAAUUGUCAAUAAAAAAGAAAGAAAAAACUUUAAAAAUCCAAUUUUUCCCUCAUCGCUCCCAAUUAAAUCAUAUUUUCUCUCUAACUCUAAAGAGAUAAAAAAACAACCUCCUUCAAUAUUCUUGUUCUACUACAACACUCCACACCGGGGGCAUCCUUCUUAUUCUUCUUCUCUUUCCUUCCUUCAAUUGCAACCACAUACUUUCUAUUGACGUCUCCAUCUUCUUAUUCUUCUUGUUCUUCUCCUUCUUUCUUUUCCCAGUAAUUUUGUUCAACAGCUCCCCACCCCAACUCCUCUCUCUUCCACUCUGUCACAUGUGAAAUGAGACCCUUAGCCCCUCAUUUAAAGCAACCAAUCCUCCUCGAUUCCUCUUCUUAUUCUUCUUCAUCUUCCAAUAUUUUUAUCCUUAUCUUUAUCACUCACAUAAUGUAACAACAAUUAAAAGAAAAAAGAAAUUGAUAAAAAACAAGCAGCUAUAGAAAUUUAAACAAAGUCUUCAUCGUCAAGUUUGGGUUAUUUGGGUAUAUACUCAUACACCAAACAGUGUGAUGUUGUAAUCCAGAUUAUCAAUAAACUAACAAAAUUUCAAUAAAAAAAUUUAUGACAAAUCACAAAAUAUGAUAAUCAAAAUUCAACAAAACAAUAAAAGUGAGAUCGGAAAACCCACAUCAAAUUUGAGAAUGAAAACAAACCAAAAAAGAAAUAAUAUAAAAGGGAUAAAUCAUAUCUUAAUGAGGAAGACAGAAGAAAAAGAAAUCAAAAUAGUCACUGAUUGUGAGAAUUUUGCAUUCUUUGCACUCGACUGUACAAUAUUGAUUAUAGAGAAAGCAUUGUUGGUAUGAUACUGUAGAUUGUCUAGGCUCUAGCUUCAUUUCGGAACUGUAGGCUUUGUCAAUACCUCUUCCAUGGGUGUGAUUUGCUUCACUCUUUAUUCUACCAUCUGCUCUGUUUUAGCCUGGUGUGUUGGUUGAAAUUUGAGAAUUGGAGAGCUCUUAAAAGAAAGAGCGAAGAACUGAGUUAAGGAUUCUCAAUAAUGGAAAGUUUAUAUUUCUAGUGAUUACGGACAUCUAAGGGCACAUUAGUCUUUUUCUAAUAAUCUAACGGCAAAUGGGUUUGAAAAUUGACAGAAGGAUCUCAUUAUUAAUGGAUUUAAAAUGUAGGGACGUUUUAGUAAGUUUUUUAAAAUGCAGGGGCUGAUUUGUUAUUAAUGGCAAUACUCAGGGAUUAAUUAGUAAAUCUCCCUAUUAUUAAUGUAAAUUGUCAUAACUUGCCAACUAUAAUUAGUUAAGUAAAUUAACUAUAAAGAAAAAAAAGAAAAGAAAAAAGAGAGAAGGAGAAAAAUGGGUGAUAGAAGAAAAUAGUUGAGGAAAAAUUUUGUUACUGAAUGAGAUCUUAAAUUUUAAAAAUAUAAGCCUAAAGAACCCCUUAUAUUUAAUUGAUUGAAUCGGGUUGCGAACUCGAUCAAUUCAUAUUAAUUCACUUGAUUUACUAUUGAUUCUUUCAAUUUAGUUACAAUUCAUGUGCAUUUGCAAUUUAUCUUAUAUAUUUAAAUCCCUAGGAUGUGGAAUCUAAUCGAGAAUCGUAAGAUUUGAAUUAAGAAUCGUACGAUUCAGUGACAUUUAAGAUUCGCCAUAUAGAUUCAAAUCGAUUUGUUGGGAAAUUGAUUUGAAUAGUAAGAUUCGAAGAGAGAAUCAUAAAAUUCUGAUAACAGUGAUUAUUAAAUAGCAAUCUUUGCAGAAGAUUGUUCAUGUCGAUAAUAAUAUUUUAUUGCUUUUAUUCCCAAAAUCAAUUUUAUGGUAUUUUAAAUGGCAUUAGAUUGUAUGACUGCAUUUUCUGGUGCAGUGUUACGUUGAUAGUUCUACUGGCCACAAAUUCUAUUCCAAGCCAGAGGUGCUUCGAUAUCUGGAAAGUAUGAAGCAGAAGAGUUGCACAUUAGAGCAGCAAGAAACACCCAUGAGUGUUCUCCCUGAAAACAAGGUUUGUCCGCAAUAUCCUGAUUCUGUUUUUGUUAUAUGCCAAAAACUUUUUUUUUUGCAGUUAUGGUAUUUGCUUUGCUGCUGAGCAUGCACCGAUAACUUGAAAUGCAUCAAUACAAAGGUUUAGUUGUUGGUUGCAUGAAACCAUGUGCACUAUUUUGGCAAAUAAGGAAGAACGAAUUUGUUAAAGAUCCUGAUAUUAGCAUAACUUGUGUAAUGCAAUAUAUAAGGAAAAUUUGAUGCAUAUGGCAUCGUACAUACAAAAGGUAUGUGCUAUAAAUGGAAACUCUACAAAUGCUUGAGAAUAGGGAUGUUGUAUUCCAUAUUAUUCUGGAAGUACAGAAAGAGGAAAGUAGUACUUCUAAAAGUUUGAGGGGUUUUUAACAAUCAAUCAUAAUCUUAGAGAUGUAAAUUUUCCAAGAUAUUCUUUUUGGUAUGUUUUUGUGAACAUAUGUUAGUCUAUCAGUUGACUUUUGAAAUCCAUUUCAAGCUUGAGAUGAUCAGAUAUCUGAAAAAUAAGUGCAGAUAAUACCAUUUCCAGAUAAACAAAGAAACAUUAUUCUAUGUUUUUUUCUCAUUGCAUAGUAAAGUUAUAGUAUCUUUUUAUUCUGCGAAAUUUGUCUGAUCAAAUUCCAGUAUUCUAAUUCUAAGUCUCUGCAUAAAAUCUAGGUUCAGUUUGAGAAGUCUUCAGUGGAGGAUUUACCUACAGGGUGGAUCAAGAGUACCAAAAUUACAAGGAAUGCAAAUGGAGUCAGAAAAGACCCGGUAAGAACUUUUGAUAAUACUCGUUUGUCUAAUAUUAUUUAGUUUUCAGAUGAAUUUUUAGAGGGGUGGUAAUCUUCCCUACCACAGCUGGUGCUUGAUCCUCCUUUUUAAGAGAUAAGGCUGGUACCAUUACCUGCUAUGCUGUACCUAUUUGCUAUAUAUGUUUUUUUGCGGUUGAAAAUUUUUGCGGUAACAACAUAUUUUGACAUACCUAAUGGGGACAAUAAAUUGAUGUUGAUCAGUACCCUUUUGCCACAGUAUUACACAGAUCCAGUAACUGGACGUGUCUUCCGAUCCAAAAGGGAUGUUCAACGCUAUCUAGAAACUGGAGAAAUUAGUAGACGUGCAGUUUUUCCAAAGAAAGGACCCAUCGAUGAAAAAAUCUUGGUACAUAUGAACCUAACCUUAUAUUCCUGAGUUUAAGUGAUAUAUUGCAGUUUCCCUGCUGUUGAUAUCAUCAUUCUCUUUGGGGAUUCAUAUAUGUUGUGCCACGAAUUUGAUAGUUAAAUGUUUGAUCUAUGGGAUUUUUAUGUGAAAUUAAAUGCAUAUAGUAUGCAUACUAUAUGCUUCAAAAUAUAGUUUAAACAAAAAUCUAAAAUUUUGAAGCCUUUACUUUCCAAUCUGCUAGCCCAAAAACAUAGCUCACAAUGCUAUUAAAAUAAUUUAUGUUCAUGCUAUUCAAGUUGUGUGAAACCUGUGUUGCAGUAAAACACUUGCAACUUAAUUAAAGAUUUUGUAAAUUGAAGGAGGUAUAGAACAAACAUUGUGUUUUAUGCUCUUGCAACAGUACGAAUUCAUAUUUGUCCCACUGGUAAUUUACACUUAAAUCUUUAUUUUGAAGGAUCAGAUAUUUGACCCAUCACAUACUUGCAACUUUUCUCUUAAAAAGGUGAAAGCUUCUACACCUUUUUAAAAAUCAACUUCAUUUAAAAUAGCAUGAGAUGCAGUGGGAUGCUGUUGUAUGGAACAUAUUGCAACUUACCAGAAAAGAGAAGUGAUUAUAGCAAUAACAUGAUGCCAGAGUUGGCAUACAUGGGUCAAAACUGUGAAACUUCUCUUUAGAACUUAGAUACUUGUACGGGAAAUAUCCAUGUGCUGAAGUUUAUAAACAUUGACAAAUAUGUGAUAGAUUUAUUUCAAUAUUCCUGUAUUAUUGUAAUGGUCAUGAUUAGACAUUUAACUAGGAUGAAACUGUCAACGACUUAAUCUUGCAGUAUCAAGCAUUAAAAGUCAAGUAAGCAGGCACUUCCCAUAGCUGAGGAUUUGGAUGAGCAUUGUACAAAUCAUGAUCACAACUUAUUAAAAGAACCCUAAACAAUUGUUUUACUUGUAGCAUUGUUUUAUAGCCUUCAUAAAGACUAUGCUUCAUAUGGUAUCGCUUUUGCAAAUGUUAUUCAGAAUGUGUAUUGUUGUUGUACAGCAUUUUAGCAAAAAAUUCACCAUCAUCUUUUCUCAUAUAUGAAUUUUUGUUCCUUCUUCUCUCUCUCUCCUGCACCCCCCCCGGCCGGAUGUUUAGGGGGAACUUACCAGCACAUGACAAAAUUGGAAGUUGCAACAUCUUGACUUGAAAUUUAAGAGUAUCCAUUUCAGGAUCGUAUUGUAUUUUUCUGUCUUGUCUGUUUUCUGAGCUACCCGGCCCUUGUCUCUGUGCUAUUAGUCGUGUUUGAGACAUAUGCUGUUAUUUUAGAAAAGACAAAUUAAAAAGGGAUUAUGUAUUGAGAUUUAUUCCAGACGGGGCUUGCACCUACAUUGACUGUUGAUCCUCUAAAAUUUGUCAAGUCUUGAGUAAUAUUAAUCUCCCACUGGCCCCUUCUCACAGUUCUGUGUUUUUGCCCUUGUGUUAGCCAUCAUUAUCUGAAGCUAAAAGGCAGAAACUAAAGCAUGAUGCUACAGGGCAACAGCUUUAUACAGGUGCAGAAUUUUAUUAGUUGGUACUAAUUAUUUAAACCAAAUGAUGAUCUGUGUCAUGGGGAAACAAGCCAAACAUACCUAAACUUCACUUUACUGAUGUGGACAAACUUACUGAUGCAGGUAAGGGGACUUCUGAUGUGGGCAGCACUUCAUCCACUGUAACUACAGUUUGUGUGGUUACUACAGUUGAUGUACCUUCACAAGAGAGUCCGAGGGAUAAUGUGGAGGGUAAUGGUGCUGAAUGCAAGGAAAACUUUAAUGCAAACUGGUUAGCACAAGGAAAUGUUGAAGUUUCUGAGAGAAAUCAAGACAAAAACGUCAGCCCUGCUGGCAGACAUGGACUUUUAUUUCCUGAAUAUGAUAACAAGCAAGAGCAGAACUUGCCUGACAGUGAGACAGGAAGCUACAAACAAAAAACUCAGAAUAGUUUGAGCAACUUCAAUAACCAGAAAAGCCUCCACUUGCAACGUCGAUUUUCGAAGCGACUAGCUGGAAUUGAACCAGAGCUGAUGGGAAUCUCAAGUUCCAUUGUUCAAGCAAUUCCUGAAGCUGGUAAUAAGAAAGAGCAAGAGCAGAACCCUCCUGAGAGUGGGAUAAAAGUGGAUGAAAUUUAUGGAGGAAAAACUUUGAAUAGUUUGAGUGAAUCGAAUAACAAGAAAGGGCUUAACUUGCCUCACCAGUCUUCUAGUUGUCGUGAUGUGAUUGAAACCAAGCCAGGUGUCAACUUAGUGUCUAUUGUGCAAGCUCUUCCAAAAACUAUUAAGGCUCAGAAAGGUGAAGCCAUUAUACAUAUGGAUUUGACUUCAGAUGUUGUGACAGAUAAAAGAUCUGACCAAAUGAAUGCUGAACCCAUAACAGAGCUUCCGCCUUGGGCUACCACAAAUGCUAACAAUCCAUUACUUCAAGAGCUAUCAAACAAGAGCCAAAAAUCUGAUACAACCCAAUCUGUACUUCCAAAGGCCAGAGUUCCCAAUCGAAAUCAGUGUAUUGUUAGUGCUGAUAGUGGACCUAUUUUAACUUCUGAAACUACUGUCCAACAAGAGCAGAACUCUCUUCGGGGUGGGAUGAAACGGAAGGGCCAAGAAAAGACGCACAAUACUUUGAGCAAACCAAGUGAUAAGAAACUAAGAAAAGGGUUGAACGUGCCCUGUCGGUCUUCAAAGCGAAUUGCAGGUCUUGAACCUGAGGUGGAAGCCAACACAGGGUCCAAUGCACAGGCUCUUCAGAAUGCAAAAAGAUCUUAUAAAACUGAAGCCAUCCUAGCCGUGAGUUUGACUUCAGACAAAGCAUCUCGCCAACUUGGUGCUGAAUCUGGAAAUGAGUUUCCAAAUCAUGCUUUGACUGAUGUCAAGAACCAAGUGUCUUUUCAGGACACAGCUGUUUCCAGGAACCAAUUGCCAGUGCAGGAAACUGACAAAACCAAUAAUGAAAAUGCAGAACCACAGCUUAUCCCUCCAUUUGGGGAGUUCUGGUCAGAUCCUUGCCUUGAAUUUGCAUUCAAGACUCUUACAGGUGAAAUACCUAUUGAGAUUACUGCUAAAAGUGAAAUGGUUUCAACUCCUGCUGCUGAUAUCAUAGAUCAGAGGAACGCACUCAUGAAAACAAUAGAUAAUAGUAGCAAGGGAAAAACGCAGAUCAACCCAGGAAGACACAAAAAAAGUAAAAGCCUUCUUUUGCCUCAUCAAUCUCCAGAACAAGUUCCAGAGCUUGGAAGUGAACUGACAGGCAGCUCAAUAUCCAAUGCACAUGCUUUUAAAAUGACAGGAAGAACAGCUAGAAAAACAUCCAGUAGAGUUGAACCUGUUCUGGAUUUGGGUUCUCCAGACAAUUUUGUAGCGGGAGCUUCUCAGCAGCUCAAGGCUGGGCCAGAAGUAGCACAUGCACGUUAUUCUACAACUCAAAUUGAGCCUUCAAAUAAGAGGGUAGAGCGCCUUGACGACUGCACUCCAACUGAAAAGCGUUCACAAAAGUUGCAAAUUGAGAAGAAUGGCAACAAGCCAGAGUUACAGCCAAACUUUUCCUUUGGGGAUUAUUGGUCAGACCCGUGCUUUGAAUUUGCAUUCAAGACUCUUACAGGUGCGAUACCAGUAGAUGAUAAUUUGCCAGUUCAGAGUUACUUCCAGCAACAAGUUGACACUUCUCAAAUCCAGAGAGAAGGUUACUUCCAGCAACAAGUUGACACUUCUCAAACCCUGAGGGAAGGUUACUUUCAGCAACCAGUUGACACUUCUCAAACCCUGAGGGAAGGUUACUUUCAGCAACCAGUUGACACUUCUCAGACCCUGAGAGAUGGUAGUUUGGCACUUCCUGAUUGUGGCUUACCCAGCUUUUUUCAAACUGAUAUAUCAGUGCACUUUGAUGCUCCAGAGAAGCAAGCUGCAUCCCAAACACGAGUACCCUUGAAUAAUCCUUCCUUCCUACCUUCUGGAAGUGUGAGCUUACCUAGUUGCAGUAACAUUGGUUCUCAACAACCAACACACUUGAAGGAGAAUAAGGGAAUGCAGGGGAAGGUGAACUCCUAGAGUCGAGGUAACUUUUUUACCAGUUUGGAAGUAUUAAAAUUAUCUGUGAUAAUAUGCAGCCUUUUCCGAUCAAUAACCUUUGUGGUUAUAUUUUAGCUUUUGUAAUCUAAUAUUGAAUACAAUUUGAACUGUUGUAAAAUAGUCUUUCAACUUUGGUAGCUCGUUCAGAUGUAGGGGGAUCACCAUGCAAAAAGUUUUCACUAAUGCGAUAUGUUGUACUUUCUUCCCUUUUCACAUCAAUGAAUAGAAAAUCAAGUUUUUUUUUUUUUUUUUUUUUUUUUGUAAUUUUAUUUUAUUUCUUGAAGCAUCAAGGGUCCAAACGUUCUCUGCUCCUUGUGUAAUAGCAGAUAGUUCAUUAAUUCAUAUUUUACUGAAAGCAUUUUAUAAUAGUUGUCUUUAUGGAUUACUCCUGUUGUAGUUUAUAUGUAGUCUUGUAUUGUUUAUUCUUUUUACACGCAUGCAGAGACUUCACGAAAUGGAGGAUGUCUUCUAUGCCUUUUGUCUCUCUAUGUUCCAUAUUCUUGCUUGCGGUAUAGCAGAAAGGCAAGCACUGAAAACAGAUUUACUAAAUUAUAUUUUAAACUUAUAAAUUUCGCUCGAAGCUAAUUAAUACAUUAUAAUUUUGAAUAGAAAUAUAUCCUAUAAUUUCAAUUUGAUAAAAAAAUAAUAAGUCCACCUCCUAUUUUCAUUGGCAUAAACUUUUUUUCUAAUAAUUUUUACAAUUCUUUAUUAUUAUUAUAGACUAAAUGAUACGAGAAUUUUCAUUCUAAUCCAUCUGUACGGCCGGAAAAUUUUACUCCUACAUGAAGAAAAAAUUAUUAUCUCCGGUACUUUUUGCUAGAAUUCUCAAGUUACCAGUAUUUUUUGCUAGAGGAGACAAGGGAAGCGUUAUUCCCUGAUGCAGCAGUUACAUAUUCGCUCUGAAUUCUGUAAAAUGGACAAAUGGGGGCAAAUGGGAAACGGAUUACUAUUAUUAUGCGAAGCGCAAAUCCAAGUCAAUCAACACCAAAAUAUUCUUAAAACACAUUGACAUUACAUCAUGAAAACAAGUCCUCGCAACACAUUCGACAUUAAAUCAGAGACUUUGCCAUUUCCAAACUGGCCAACAAGUUUAAUCCUUGCCGUUUCCAAACCAAGGUGCUUAUUAGAAAGCUACUGAAGACUGUUUCCAUCCUCCAAAGCUUUCCUCCUCCGCCUCGUGACCAUGGUUACAGUUUUCCUAGAAUGAGGAACAAGAAACAACACCCAUUGUCAUUACUGCUUGGAAAAACUAGAAGAAACAAGAUUUAUCUGUCCAAUCCAAUGCUUGUCCAACAGGAUAUGAACCAACAAGAGGUGACUAACAUGCUUUGCUAACUGGAACGAAGCAAUUGCCAACUCAAGCAUCUUCAACUUCAUCUUUCCCAUAUGCUAAGGUAGAAAUAUAGUGAUUAGUAAUUACCUGAGGGGUGAAGGUGAGGCCCACUCUAAUCUCUCCCUUGUACUCUUGAUCUUUGAUGACAUUGUAUGCCGUUGGUGGGAGUUUUCCUUCCAUAAACAAUGGCUCAAGUGGAAUGCUGCAUAUGUGUCAGAAUCCAAAUCCCGGAUGUUAUUUGUUGUUUUCUAUAGAAAAUUCAACCAAAAUUUUUAAAGAUCCUUUAUUAUUAUUAUUAUAGAUAGGGAACUUGCACUCACGUUGCUUUUCCAACAAAAUCAUCUGCAGUACCAAAAUCACUGUCCAAGAUUUUCAAUGUGAGUUCUGUGACACCAUCUGUUAUCGUAAAUACGAAAUUCUCAUUCCAUUCUGGUUCACUCCCUUUCCCUGUAGGUUUUUAUUUUGUCAAUAUUGCACAAAUAGUAGAUAAUUUAUUUGUGCAUCAGAAUGUUUAAGGGGAAGAUUAUGAUCUCCGGCACUGGGUACAAAACUCUCCAACACUUGCAAAGCUAAUAGCAUACAUAUUAAAGGCAUAGUUUUGCCAACAACAAAGCAAAUAUUAACAUAUUACUUGAACUUUUCUAAUCUAAUCUGAUCAGUAAAUAUUAGAAAAUGUAACUAGGGAUUCAGAGCGAUUAGAGACAUAACUACCUGAAGCAACACUGCUUUUCUGCUCCUGGCUACGACAAGUGAGGACGACAUAAGGGUCCAUGUUAUCUGCUCAUAUGAAUUUUAACCUCAUCAAACACCAAUCCAUAAUUAUCAAUAUUAUGAGGAGUAAGAAAAUACCACAAACACCUAAACAACAUGCCGCUGGUAGACCACACCGAUUGAUUCAGAUAGAUGGAAGAUCGUUAAUGUGAACAAAAUUAUAGAUCAAGAUCAGCGCACAAAUUGGUAGAUCAAAUAUCUACUAACAUCUCUCAAAUGUGGACACAACUGAUCUCAUUACCCACAUCAUUUGAAAAUCAACAAACAAAUGAACUUGAUGGAGAUAUAUAUAGACUUACUGAGAAAAUCGGUGUUUUCAAGACCCUUAGCACCAACAAGAAGGACUUCAAGAGUUCCGUGAGGCAUAUUUGGACCACAAUUGAGAGAGAUGGAUCCCAAAGAAAUGCCUUAAAAUUUAGAGUAACUGAGGUAAAGAUGAGAAUUUUAUUGGAUCUCGCUUUUGGGUAUCUUAUAAAAGUAAAAAAGAAGAGUAAUGAUCAACGAGGAGGAGAACAAUGUUUAUUAUUUAUAGGGCAAUUUGUGGUUUAAAUAUUUUUAUUUGAAGUUUCCAAGACAAGGAAAUAGCCUACUAGCUAAAAAAAAUGGCAGAAAUGUUUUUUAUUCAUCAUAUCAACGGUCAAAAGGAAAUUUAUAACAUGUCAAUUGCUUCUCCCUCUCAUCUUCUCUCCAACCAGUUUCUUAUUGUGAGUUCUUUUUUUUUUCCAAAUCAUGUAAAAUCUGUGAAAUCGAAUGAUUUUUUUUUUUAUCAAAUACAAAAGAUGUGUGAAUGGAAAGAUAAUUGGGCUGAAGCCCAUUAAAAGUCAGAAGAAGGCUUGAAACAUACUAAGUCCAAAUAUAUAAAUCAGCCCAGGCCUAUAUGCAGAACCCCCAAAACUGUAACCAAGUAAGAAGAUUAUGGAGCUUCUCUACCGUGCCAUCUGAGCAGCUUCAGCUAUCAGGGACCAAACUUGGGAAUAACAGCUCCAUCUCAGAGAACCAUAACCACUUGUAAUCUCAAAUCGAUCCAACCAUCAAAUCUAAAAAAGAAUUAUAAAUCCAGCCAAGUAAGACAGAGUUGUGAAGCCUUUCUUUCAACCGCAUCGAAGGGGAGAAGAGAACCAAAAGCCACCGACAAUCAACAGCCGUGUGAGAGAGGAGUGAUUGAGGGUUACUAUUUACUGCUACGCUUGAUAUCGACCUUAAGAGAUAGCUUCCUUAUUUUGAUAGAAUGACAAAAAAAUCUAAUAAUCCCAAAUCAUUAUAAAUAAAAGAGAGAGUAGGAAUUCAUGGACAAAAUGUAACCCUGUAAUUGGUUCCACCAGGAGCAGUAAACGUGCUGGAUUCAUCAUCCAACGGAUAACUAUAAGCAUCAGGGCA